UUUUUUUUUUUUUUUUUAUGUUUGUAAUAAAACUUUUUUAGGAUUUAUUGUGAGAGUUUCUACUCUCCUAAAGAUUCUUGGUGAGAGUGAACUUUCUCCUCUUCUAAAAUUUUUUUUUGUUUGUAAUUUUUUUAAUAUUUCUAUUAUUAGAUCUAAGCUUUUAAAAAAAAAAAUUGGUUAUUAUAUUUGAGAUUCCUUAAAUCUCAACUUAAUAUUUGGAUUUGAAUUAGUUUAUUACAAGCAGUGCGAUUGAAAAUAUAUACAAAUUGGGAUAUAAAUAUUUGAUCUCUUAAAUUUUUAGAGUUUUAUAAUGUAAUACAAAUUUAAGAUUUAUAGUAUCUAAUAUUUGUUUUUAGAUUUGCUUGUAUGUGUAUGUUAAUACUAAUUUAUGUCAUCAAUACAGAUUUAAUGAAAUGAUCAUGUUUUUUAUUAAAAAAAAUGUUGUCCUUGUCUAUGCCCCAAGGCCCCUAAUCAUAGUUUUUUUAUUAAAAAAAAUGUUGGCUUUUCAGUGGGAAAUUAUUAAAUAAAAAAAGGCAUUUGGUUAAGUACUAUAAUUGAAGGCUAAGUCAAGUUAUUAACCAUAGGUUAGUACUAUGUUUGCUUAUAUAAUUCAAGAAUCAUUAGUGGAGAAUGAACAUCUUAGCACUGAUUAAUUAUGUAGUAAAAGUAUAGAAUCCGCAUACACGAAAAUUCUUGUAGAAGGUACCAGAUGUCCCUUGUUAAACUCACAAGCUCUCUUCUUUUCUCCUUCCACCUUGGACCGUUUGACAUUUCUCCAUGAACCCACCAAAAAAAGAAAAAAGAAAAAGGCACAGAUGCAUGAAAAUGCGGAUCGCGAAACUCCAAAGGCUAAUGGAUGGAACCCACCAAACCUACAUGUUCGUGACGCCACAGCAACAUUUUAUACAAUGGAGAUUAUCGUAAUGGUACAUGGGAAGCUACAAAACAUCAUACAUAUUUGACAAGGCAUUCUCAGUCCUAUUCGGAAGCAUCACCCUACGACUCUGACUUGUUAGUUGUUACGUGAUCUAACAUACAAGGCUAGACAUCUACAACUGUUCAAAACUCUUCAAGGUCUCUGCUUUGCAGGUCGUUUUGUAGUGCCCUGUUUGAUUGCAGCGACUACAAUGAACUGUAUGCUUUUCACGAUUAACAUCCUCUACGCAUACCCGCUUCUUCUCAGGGCGUCCAGGUGGUCUUCGAAACUUGGGUGGUCGAACAAGUCGUACAUCAUCAUCUACUGGAACAUCACCUUCCUUCUUCCAUUUGAUCUUCCCAGGGAUGCGAAGUAUCUCUUCGGAGUAUGACUCACGAUAAGAGCUUGCAGUGAAAUACUUCUCUGUAUAAGCAUACACGUCUUUCUUAUAUGAAGUAAGAGCAGCAACUGCAUGUGAACAUGGUAUUCCAAACAACUGCCAAUCACGGCAGGAGCAAGAACGGGUACCUAUGUUCACAAUGUGUGAUCGCUCUGCUGAUAGGACCUCAAAUUCUACCUCAUCAGACCGAAGCACCUGAUAUGUAGAGGAAUGUUCCAUCGCCUCCAGCAAGCGCUUCUCAGCAGUCGGUGCAAGCAUGGAAAUCCAAGUACUACUCUCUGCUCGCCGUUCCUCAAACUCUGAUAUCAGUUUACUGUGAAUCCGCUCAAUUACCUGAACUAUGGGCAGCUCUCGUGCUUCAAGAAUCCACUGAUUGAACUCCUCAAUGUUUGAAGAGAGAUGGCCAUACCGUUUUCCUUCAAAAUACAUCAAUGACCAACGGGAGUGAGAAUAUUGUUGAAGCCACUUUGCUGCAUCCACGGAGAUUUCCUGAAUUUCAGCCAGUUUCUCUUUAAAUCCAUGGGCUGUGGUAGAAUAUGCGGCUUUCCAUAAUAGUUGAACAAGCCUUGAAUUUCUAAACUCUUUACCCAUGCUUUCACUCAAGUGACGCAUGCAAAUUGCAUGUGAAGAACCAGGAAAUUUCCUUUUGACAGCAUCUGCAAUGCUUUUCUGUGCAUCAGAUAAAAAAGUUAGCUCAGGUAUCCUCUCCGUGUGCAUCUCUAAUGCCUUAUUUAACUCUGACAAGAACCACAUCCAACUCUCAUCAUUCUCUACAUCGACAACACCAAAGGCAAUUGGAAAUAAUCCACCAUCAGCAUCAAAAGAAGUAGCUGACAUUAAGGUACCAAGGUACUUGCUUUUCAACUGGAUUGCACCAAGCCCAACAACUGGCAAGCAUCCACUCAAAAAGCCGUAUAUGGAAGCAUAGAAAGCAAUGAAGAGUCGCUGGAACCGGUUAUCAGAACCAGCAGUAAACACCUCUGCACAACUUCCAGGAUUUGUCUUCUUAAUUUGCUCGCAGUAUGCAGGAAGAAGGCAGUAUCCUUCUUCAGAAGACCCAUAUAUGGCUUGCAGCCCCCGUUCCUUGGCACGCCAAGCUUGCUUGUAUGGUAUAAUUAUCCCAUACUGUUUGUAGAUGUCAUGCAAAAUAUCUUUUGGCUUGUAAUUUAUGUUGUCCCUCAGUCGUUCCUCUAUAAAGUUAACAAUCCAAUCCACAGAAGCCUGAUGAUGUCCAGUUUGGGCAUUUCUCCCACAGGUGUGUGUUCCUUCAAGACUCCGUAUUGUGAAUGUUGGAGCAUUGGGAAUCUUGACUGCACGUAUACGCCAAGGACAACCAUCUGCAGCACAUUUUGCGAUAUAGCGAAUCAGGUCACUCUUCACAAUGCGAAGCUCAAAAUGUUGUGCAAUAGCAGCUUCUUUAAUUGCAUUUCGGAAUGUUUUGACAUCAGGAAAUUCUUGACCAACAACUAAGUUGUGGUCCUCCAUAAAACAAUAUAACUCUGUGUUGCAACCAACUUGCCCCAACGUGUGGGUCAGCUUCUGAGCUUACUCAUACAAGAUGCUUGCCUAUAAUGCCAGUCUCAUAGUUUAUAUGCAUUCCAACAGCAUUCUAAUUGAGAUAUUGCAAACCAAAGCUCAUCACAAGUGACAACAAUAUGGUGAAAUUGGAAUUCAAGAAGGAUGUAAGCACCAAAACUUACAAUAAACACACCUCGUUAAAAUGCAAAAUAAAGAUUUGUUUCAUCAGUUCCCGGAAUAGUCUGAUCAAUAUGCUCCUCAAGAUUACCUACAGCAAGUGCAUUUCCACAAAUUCCUGAUGUCAAACAGAUAAUUACUAAUAUUCUGUGAUACAUAUUAAACUCAACAAGAGGAAUUCAACUGAGAAUUCUAAUAGACUCUUCCUUUUUAUUGGCUUCGUUUGGAUUGACUAUUUUUUCAAAAACAAGUUUUUCAAAAACAAGUUUUUCAAAAACAAUAAAAGUUAUAACAAAGUACUCUAAAAGAUAAUCUAAAAAUUAAUUUAAAAUUUUUUAAAAUUUUACCAAAUAUCUCAAAAUAAAGUGCCAAUAAAAAAUAUUCCAAAAUAUUUUCUAAAAAUAUUUCAAAAUAUACUCUUAAAACUCUGCUACAGCAAAAUUUUUCAAAAACACCCCCAAAAACAGCUAAUCCAAAUUGUUUUUCCGCAAACAAAUCAAAAUGAUACAUACGAAACAUUAAAAUGCAACCAGCUUUGGUGUACAGAAAAAAAUAAAGAAAAAUUCACUCCUACUGUACUCUAAUUAACGGUCAUACCUAAGCUCAUAAAUUGCAGCUAAGAAAAAAAAAAUUAAUUUUAAGAAAAUGACGUCAAGUAACAGAGAAGCAGCCAACUAUAACAAAAACCCACCUGAACUAAAGUUCUAUUUAAUCUCUGUAUUGAAAGGGAAAAUCCCAAAACUGUAACUUUCUUAAUACACCUACUCGUAUCCAGCUAAACUUGUCGAAAAAUGCAAGAAAAGAUUAAAUUCGAAAAUCUAGCUAAAAAAGAAGGAGGAAAAUCUAGGCAAACAAAUUUUCACUUAAUAGUGGAAAAAAAGAAAACAUUUUGUUACAAAAACACAUAAUUACACACCCAAAAUCAUAAAUUACGCGGAAAAACUAAACCAAAAAAAAGUUAUUAAAAAGGGAAAAACAACACUUUAAAAUGUUGGGUUACAAUUAGGGUUCAAAUAAGAAGGGGGUAAAAGAAAACGUUACAAUUUGAGAUAAAAGAUUAAAUAAAUUGGGGUAAAAAAUCUAAGAUAAAUUGGAAUGUUGAAGGGUACAACUGACCUGGGAGAGAUUGCAGGGAAUCAGAGGAAGGAAGAGAAAACAGUCGGAUUGGGAACUCUGAAGAAAGAUUAGGUCACAUCACAUCAUGGCCCAUUGUUGUCAUUUGGAAAAGUGGUAGGGGUGUUUCCGGUAUUUGAAUUAGACUGGGGCUGUUAACGCUGGAGCAGAAAAUGGAUGCCCCGAAGUGUUCGGAGCCAGCUUCGAAAGAUGGUUGCUCAUUUAUGGGGCAGGCUCCAUAUUCCGACCCGGAAGUUUAUUUAGUUAUUCAAGGUAAAAGACCAAAAAACUCUCUGCUUUACUAAAUGUUCAAGUGCAAUUUAAUUCUAUCUGAUUUCAAAACUUACACUACAGCUCCUUAUAAUUUCAACAAAAUUGAAAAUGCGACGAGAAGCAUCCAAUCUAACAGUUGUAUAUAAAAUGUUAAUAUUGCCCCUGUAUAAAUGAUGUCGUUUGCUAGAUGUUCAAUUUAAUUUCCUCUAAUUUAGAAAACUAUGCUAUAACUCCCUGUGAUUUCAACUAAAUUAAAAAUUAAACGAAAAGCAUUUCACGUAUAGUAAGAGCAAUAUCGGCAUUCACGCGCAAUAGUUAGAUUGGAUACUUUCCAUCCAAUUUUUAAUUUAGUUGAAAUCACAAUGAGCUAUAAGGUAAGUUUCCAAAUCAAAUAGAGUUAAAUUGAAUAUUCCGUAAACUACAGGGAAUUUUUUGAUAUUUUACCCUUUAUUCAACAAUGAAUUACUUCGCAGGUCCUUGAACAUAUCUAAAGCAGUUUCCAAUAGUGGAACUCCUAAAAUUGCUCCAUCCGAAUUGCUUUUGAAGUUUAAGCCAGUUAUUAGGACUUGAAAGUUUGUUUGAUUCUUUCAUGGAUUAAUCUUUUAUAUUCUAACAGUGUAAAUAACAUUAUCAUGAUAGCUUAUUGAAUCUAAAUUUGAAAUUUAUAUUUUAUUUAUGGAUCAUACACCAACAACUAUAAAUAACACACACACGCACUAUCUAAGGGAACUCACAGCCCAACUCAAAAGGCAUGCUGACUUUCAGACUACACUGAGGACCUUAAGUAGUAUACACACCACGUUUAUGGGUCAUACGUCCAUCGUGAUAGCGUAUAAGGCGUCGAAAUAUAUAUAAGAUUAAUUAUCCUGGCUGUUUGCAUGGAUGCGCCUGGGCGAUGGAACUAGAUACAUUAAUCUGCCAAUGCUGUAUAUUGUCAGACCAAUACACAUGCGUACCAAGACUAAAGGGUCAAGGUUCAGUGCAGAAACAAGCACAACUGGCCCUCUGGAGUGUGAUUGUCCAAGACUCAGAUAAUAGAAAAUUGCUUGCUGGGUGUCGAACAUCUCCUCACCAGCAAAGGCAGAAUUCACCCGACAGAAGACAUAAGCAAUUGCGUUCAUUGUACAUGCCGCUCCUGGAGUGGAACUGGGCUUAGCCGGCCGAGUUCAUGAUGUAUUAGUUUUAUAUCCUAAGUUUAUAUAUAUAUGUUGAAGACUGAAGAAGAGAAGGCAAGAGACAAGCAAAACUUUAAAGUCAGUCCUCUAAAGUAAUUCUGACCGAUGGAAAUGGCUUUCCUCUCUCGCAGUUGAUCACUAUCAAUUGACAGUAUUAGAUGAUAAAGUUCUCCCUGGACUUGGCAUACAGCUUCAAAGAUACUGUCAUACCACUGAACUUCUUUCAGGAAGUGUUCCACACUCAACAAAAUGCAACACGCAAAUAUCUUGUUAGCAGACAGUUAAGAAAUGCGACAAAGUCAUGCAUGAUUUAUCAGUUACUUCAGCGCAUUCUUUAGGCAAGGUCUGCAUGUACAUCAGCCCUAGCAAGUAAUACAGGCGUGCCCACGAAUAAUUGAUGAUCAUGUUGAAGGAUGGAUACAGUAUCCAAUCUGGACGUUAACCGCAUGAAUACACGCUACUUUAGAAAGGUUUACCGUCAAUUUCUUGAGGAAGUCUUCUACAAUUUAACUGCAACUUUUCCUUGAAAAGGAUAAUGGCAGGCGAGGCUUGGAUCAGCAGAGAGCAGGCCCUUGUUAAUACGAGAAACAUGCCUCGUUGGUGCCAAAUCAUUCCCUUGACGAAAAUUCAUUUCUUGACUGCAAUUCUUAUAGAGGAGACUGGCCAUGGAAAAAUAAUAAAGCGCAUGAAAUUGAAGCUCUUGAGAGAAUAUUUUUAUUAAAGAGAUAAACCGGCAUACACGGCAAUUCCUGAAACACAAAUGGAAUAAAUGAAAAAUAAAAUAGCCAACAUCAGCGGGGCCUAUCUAGUGUCUAAGGGCCUGGAUACCAACCAAUUUGGGGCAGAGCCCAAUUAAUUCUUUGAAUGGAGCCUAAUAGUAAAUUUGAUUUAUUAUGGGCCAAACAGUGCCUAUGCUUAAAUCUUAAAAAAAAAAAAAAAAAAAAAAACCUCGAAACUGCUAAACAAUAGCUCCGUUUGAAGUAAUUAUUUUUGGAAGUAUUUUUAAAAUAUUUUAUUGUAACAGUGUAUAUGAAAAACUUUUACUAUAGAUAUUUUUUGAAAUAUUUGAUAUAUUGUAUGGAUGAGAUUUUUUUUUGAGUUCUUUUUGUUUAUGUUAUUUUUGAGUUGUUUUUGAUAUAUUGUUUAUGUAUUAUGGAAGAUGGAUCUUGAAAUAAUAAUAAAAUUUUAUAUUAAAAAAUGAAUGAUAAAUGGAUAAAAAUGAAUGUAAUUGCAUGUUUUAUUGAUUUCAAAAUGAAAUACCUACAAUGUAUUCAAUUUGAUAAUCUUGUACAAAGAUUUGAACACUUUUCACACCAAUCAACCUUUAGUACGAAAACCAAUAUUGGUGGUUUAAUUGACUCUGUUGAAUUUUGUGAAAUUCGUACUACAAAAUAAUUUUCAGUGAGACUUAUCUUUCUUAGAAGUAAACUUGUUGAACCUUUUGAAGUAUUUCAGUGGGAUCACUUUGGUGUAGACAUUGUUUUAUGUUUAGUUGUUUUCUCCUUUGCAAUCUAGUAAGUUUGGAAUUAAGGCCCUAUUGAAAUCAAUAAUGGAGCCAAGAGAGGUUGAUGUGGGCCACGGCUCCCCCUCCCAAAAAAAGUAUUGAAAAUUUUAAUUCAAAGUGUGUAAAUAUAUGUGUAAAAUAAAAUUAACUUCCCUAAUUUUUUUAUAAUUUUAGUUUAUAUUUAUGAGAGUUUAUAUAUAUAUAUAUAUGAGUUAACCACCUUUGAAUUAAUUUUUUCUUCAAAAAAGGUUAUUUAUUUUUUCAUACAUUUAUAAUUAAAGUUAAUAUUUGAUGUUUUUAUAUGUCAUAUAUUUAAAUAGAUGAAGAUUAUUUUGAACAUAAUAUAUUAAGAUAAUUUUGUUAGGAAAAAUUUUGGCCCCCCAGGAAAAAAAUUCUGGCUUCCGUCACUAAUUGAAAUGUUUGUAGGUGGGAUUCAUCCAUGAUGAGAAUAUGAUACAUAGUCUUAUUUUUUUUUCACUAUAUUUGGUUUGUGUGGAUGACAAAUGAAAAUGGGUUAGUAAUCGUCAAUUUUGUGAAUGAUUAUGAGAAUAAAAUAUGUUAUGAGAAUAAGAUGUGUAAAAUUAUAGGAAUUGUAAUUUGGCUCCUAAAUUUUGAAUAUGUGAUUUUUGUAAUGGUAAGUUUCUUAAAUUAUCAGUUAGUUAUUACUAUUAGUUGUGUGGUAAGUGUUAGUGGUAAAUUUGAGAUUUGCAUAGAGCUGUUAAACGAACCGAGCUAACGUCGUUAGCUCGGUUCGUUUCGGCUCGUUCGCGUUCGUUAAAGGCUCGUUCGAAAGCCUUAAACGAACGAAUAUGAACGAAUUUUUGUGUUCGUUUAAUAAUCGAGCGAACACGAACAUGUUCUUGUGUUCGUUUAAUAAUCGAGCGAACACGAACAUGUUCGCGAAUUUUAACGAGCGUUCGCGAACAAGGACAUAAUUGUCAUUUGACAAAUUUUAGGGUUACUCAUAAGAAAUUCUAAAACUUUCCCCUUCCCUUUCCAACCUUACUUUUGUUUUCCUUCCCCAUUGGCUGCUGCCGAAAAUUUGUACUUGUCUUAUGGCUGAAUUUUUAUAUUUGAAGGACAAAUUAUUUUGUUUUAUUUGUUGUUUUUAUGUUAAUGUUGGUUAUGUAGUUAUUGAAUAAUGGAAUUUAGUCAUUUAGUAUUUUAAUUAUUUUUUAGGAUGAUUAAUGAUUUGUGUGGCAUAUUUAAGGCCUAGAAUAAUCUGGAUUCGAACUUUUCGAGCGUGUUCGCGAACGGCUCGUUUAUGUUAAACGAGCCGAACACGAACACGAACACGAACACGAAUUUUACUUAACGAGUCGAACACGAACACAGAUUUAGAGUUCGAAAGUUAACGAACGAACACGAACGGAGUUCGAAUCGCUUAACGAACAGAGCUCAAACAUGAGAUACUCGGUUCGUUUACAGUUCUAGAUUUGCAGAUGUGAUUUUGUAAGGAUGGUUAUUAUCAAUUAGUUAAAAUUUUGGAAUUUUGAUUUUGUAGGUUAGUGGGUCACGUAAAUUAAAAAGUGGGAAGGGAUAAGGAGAAGUGAUUAGAAUUACUGAAUUAAAAUAAAUCUAAAAUUGUAGUAAAAAAAAAUUCAGAUUUCUAAUGCCUGUGGAGGUUCCUUAUCAAAAACCUAUCCUGUAAUACAUAUAGAUAUAGAUGCACAAACAGUCUGCUAGAGCAAUAAAAUUACCAUUUUGCACAACGGAGCUUAUUGUGAUUCAACAGUUCACCGAUACAAGUAGAUGAGAAUUUUCGGUGUGUUGACAUUGCUCAUAAACUGAAAAAAAAAAAAAAAAAAAAAGAACAAGGGAAGAAAAGCAAAAGUUUAAUGAAAAGCAAGAACCAACAGUUUUGAGGAAGGUGAAGUUUCGAUUUUUGAGAAAAAUAAUUUAUUUUGAAUUCUAGCCUUCAUACUUGAAAUCGUAUAUUGUGCAACAACAUUAAUUAUUGGGUUAAGUUAAAGGAACAUGCAUAGGAAGUAGGAACACCCACAUAGACAAAAAAUCAUAUAUUCGUUGAGGGACAGGCAAAGCAAUCAAAUAAAGGCCAGUUGUUAUGUGAACUGUGAAGGUACAACAAGUUGGAUUUUAUUCAGACUAUAUUUAUAUUUGUUUUUUUUUUUCUACAAACGAUAUUAGCUAUAUUUAUAUUUGUUGAUCGGCAGAAAACUGAAUAAAGCCCUGUUGUUAUGUGCAGGUAGAAAUGGGAUUUUUUUUCCUCCUUCCUUCUUGGCUGAAGAAGAUAAAAUAAAACUGGGUUUUCUAACUAGCUCAUAAGAUUCUGGCAUCCAUCCUUUUCAUCAAGUAUUUGAUGCAAUUUUGGAUUUUGUGUCUGCUUCUCGUUCUUAUUCAUUACUUUUGCAUUUUUCUCUUGAAACAUUAUGUUGUUGCUCUCAAUUCUCUUGAAAAAUGGCCCUUUCCAGGAAGCAGGUGGCGUUGAUUUUUUUUUUUCCCCUUUUUUUGUCGUAACAUCAUCAAGAAUAUUUGGAUUUUUGGCUUUUCGAGUCUUGUUUGCUAGCUGCCAGAGUGUUGAGCAAGAACUGCUAAGAGAUUGAGUUGGAUGCGCAUUGACGCAAGGAUGCUCCACUGGUUCAACGGUCUUACCCUUGCUUCCAUCCCUCUACUGCACAAAAAUGGAGCCUUUACUGCAUGGCUUUUUAGAUUAAUUAAAAAGAGAUCAAUUUUGUCAUUUUAUUUUGUUCCACGUGAAUUAUGUGGCGGCAACUUGGAUUUAGAAUUUGAAGAAGCAAUCUGAGUAUAAACAAUACAACUAUUGAUACAAAACUUGUAACAAUGACUGAGGUUUCUGACAUUUGCACUGACCUCCCCUGUGCUUUGAAAAAUUACACUGACCUCCCUUGAGGUUACUAAUCUUUUGCAAAUUCAGUCCAAACUAUUAAAAUAUUAUUUUAGGGAGUGAAAUUAGAAGUUUUUACCAAAUUUGUCGUUUGUACUACAUGUCCAAUGAAUGACAAAGUACUACAAAUCAAUUAACAAUUAAUAAACUCUAAGGAAUAUAGUUUAUAUGCAAAUACGCAUUACCUAUUUAAGGUAUCGGUUCUUUACGAGUAUUUUACUUUCAAAUAUUUAAUUUAUGAUAAAUAUAUCAAUAUUUGUAAGUAAAAUUCAAAAAGUGUUACAGUAAUAUUCGUGCAAAAAGGAAAUCGGUAGGUUAUUUAUUUAAUAUAAAUUAAAUAUUUUUUUUAAAAAGAAAUGGCCUAUAAAGUAUUAAUUUUUUAUGAUUUUCAUCCAUUACAUUAGUAAAAUAUUCGCUUUUUAUGUGUAUUUUAUUAUGAAUCAAUUAAUUUAUGUUAAAUACAUAAAUAUUUGUAACUAAAAUUGAAAAAGUGGUAUAUUAAUAUUUUUGCAGAAGAGAGAUUGGUAGGUUUUGUAUUUAACAAAAAUUGAAUAUUUGAAAGUAAAUACAAAUCUAUAUUUGAGCGUAAAUAUUUGUAUUAAAUUAAAUGUUUGAAAGUAAAAUACCCGUAAAGAACCGAUUUUAUGGGCAAACACGCAUUACUCAUUUAAAUUACCGGCCUUUUACGGGUAUUUUACUUUCAAACAUUUAAUUUAUGAUAAAUAUAUCAAUAUUUGUAAGUAAAAUUCAAAAAGUGUUACAGUAAUAUUCUUACAAAAAGAAAAUCGGUAGGUUAUUUAUUUAAUAUAAAUUAAAUAUUUUUUUAAAAAAGAAAUGACCCAUAAAGUAUUAAUUCUUUAUGACUAUCAUCCAUUACAUGAGUAAAGUAUUGGCUCUUUAUGGGCAUUUUAUUUUGAAUAAUUUAAUUUAUGUUAAAUAUAUAAAUGUUUGUAACUAAAAUUGAAAAAGUGUUAUAUUAAUAUUUUUAAGGAACAGAGAUUGAUAGUUUUUGUAUUUAACAAAAAUUAAAUAUUUGAAAGUAAACACAAAUCUGUAUUUGAGAGUAAAUAUUUGUAUUAAAUUAAAUGUUUGAAAGUAAAAUACCCAUAAAGAGCCGGUACUUUAAAUAGGUAAUGCGUAUUUGCCUAUAAACUAUACUCCUUAAAGUUUAUUAAUUGUUAAUUGAUUUGUAGUACUUUGUCAUUCAUUGGACAUGUAAUACAAAGGACAAAUUUGGUAAAAACUUCUAAUUUCACUCCUUAAAACAAUAUUUUAAUCGUUUGGACUGGGUUUAUAAAGGAUUAGUAACCUCAGGGGAGGUUAGUGUAAUUUUUCAAACCACAGGGGAGAUCAGUGCAAAUGUCAGAAACCUCAGGGGAGGUUUCUGCAAUUAUCCCUUAAAGAAUUGAAAGGAGCAGGUAGAAUUGAUAGUUGGAGUGGUAAGGCCUGAUGUCAUUGAACUCUUUAUUAUUAUUAUUAUUUAACCCUUUUUUCGUGUAGUCCUUGGCUUGUGAAUGGAGAGUGUACACUGAUCAAUAGUCGUGUACUAAAUGAUUAGCAAAGUGCUAAAAAAUUCAGGGUGGCAGUAGUAUACAAAUCAAAUCAGCCAGUAGUACAAUUAUUUGAUGCAACCUGAACAAUUUAAUAAUGAAGUGCCAAUGCAAAGCAUGAAAAAGGCAUGCACAGUUUUGGUUCCAGUAGCGUUGGUUAACCUGCCUCCAAUGGCAAAAGCUAAAUGAAGGGUUGUGAAGAACAAGCUCCUCAAUACCGUUCAAAUGUUAAAUAGCCAACAAAAAAUCCUUAUACUAUAUAAGAAUGGGUUGUGAUCAAAGAUGAUUUAAAUUUCAACCACAUGCAUAGAGGCUUUAUGCUUGUUAACUUUGAUCUGCUAUGCCGAUGGUUCAUAUCUAAUCAAGUUCUGGUUGGUUAGAGAUUACAGCCGUCCUAUGAACUAGUAUAAGAAAGAGAUUACUACUAUUUGUUUCUUUAGAAUUUGAUGUAACUUGGGGGUAUAUAUAUAUCUAUAUAUAUAUAUAGAGAGAGAGAGAGAGAGAGGGAUCUGGGAGGCGAUUGUUUGUUUGUAAGGAUGGUCCAGAAUGGAAUGGACCAUGGUUUCUGAUAUUGAAGUUGACCAACUAUGAUAAAUUCCAUGUACAUUUUUUUCUACCUCGAUACACAUUGCACCAAGCACUGCUGCACCCAAUCUACCUCCCGUGGAUGCAGAUGUGCAAUUGCUCUCUAUAGCUGUCUAGUCUUGUGUGUACAUCUUUCUUCUUUAUAUGAAGAUUGGUAGGGAGAAUGCUUACCUACCUAACACCCUUAGGGAGGGAGAUGGACCGAAAUCAGAUCAAACAAGUAUACAUGGGAGAAGUAGUAAAUAUCUUGUUAUUAGCAAGUGUUACAUUACUGCAAGAUGGCUGCGAGAAGUUUGCCCGUCAUGAAGGAAUUCGGAAGUAUAUAGCAUAUUUAUUAGGAUGCAACUAUCAACACACGAAAUCAAUGGAUGGAUAACCAAAGUAUUAUCAUCCCUAGACUGUAAAAUCAUCAAUGCUGUCAAUAUUUAACUUCUCAAAUGCUACAUGAGAAAAGAAAACUCUAACGUUGCGAUCAAGUCUAAAACUAUACAGGUCUCACCAAGCCCUCACAGCAGCCUAGGAUUCAAUCUGGUGAUCACUGCUCAUGAUGAUGACUCCCCACACAUGUAAUAUUUAUCCUUUUAUCUCCGAGUGGCUGUGAUGAAACCGUGAACCCACUUUGUUCCAAUAAUUGCAUCAGAGGUCCAAGCACAGGACGGUACAGAAGGUUGAGAUGAUUUAGGAGAGCCACUUGUGAGAUGGGAUUAAAAAGUUCAUCAGUAAUUUGAUACAGUUUUGCAAGGAAUGUUAUUCCAGAGUCAAGAAUAAUCAAUAAUAGCCAGUACAACAAACGCUAUACAGUAAAUAUAUAUAUAUAUAUAUAUUUUUCCACAAUUUUGGCCAGACCAUGACUGAUUCUCACUACAUUAUUGAAUAGUACAAAAUAAGGAGACAAAUUGUACAUUUGCUGAAUUAAUCAAGAGGGGGACCUCUGUAGUAGGCUGGAACAGUUGCUGGGAGGAACAUCUGCCUAACUCCUUCCGCCCGAAUUAUAGGGAAUAUAAUUCCUGACGCGCCCUGAAAGAAAAGAUCAGUUUCAGGUCAGAAACAGACCAAAACAUUAUCGACGUUUAACUGAGAGCAAAUUAACUUUGUUUCAGGCCCUUACCGAAAGCAAUCUUGCUCCCAACCACAUUCGACUUGGUGAGGGGAAUGGAAUUAAUAAACGGCCGACCCCAUAUACAGCCACAGCAAAGAAAUGGAGCACCAAACUUGAGGGUCUUGGGUUUAGACCAGAAAGAAGAGCCACAGGUCCACUUGAGAAAACGCCUCCAAGGCUUAAGUAGUCGAAACAAGCUUGGCGCAUUUCGUUUCUUGCUGGAUCCGGAGAUGCGCAAAAAACUUUGUAAAGGGCGCCCGCCAAUGUAUUUAUUGUCGAUGCCACAGGCUGCAUAAUCACCACCAUCAAUCAAAUCAAUCCUUUUAGUUCUCGAAAGAAGUCGAAACCUAACUUUUUCUCGCACAAUCAUGUUUAGAAAAUCAUUUAUCACCAACCAAGCUUGUCUUUUUCAUUCAACCACAGAAAUAGUAUAUACUGAUACACUAGAUAUACUAUGGCAUCGUACACCCGAUUUUUUUUUCCCUCUUUUAUACCUUUCGGAGAGUGUAAAAGGACUCGAGAUACUUGCACAAAGUGGUUGCAUCGUGCAAGUCAUGCAAAGGUCUUAGGAGAUCGCGAAGCACAACAACGUCAGAAAGAGCAACAGUCAUUCCUCCUCCUGUUAAAGGAUGGCGCAUGUUGAAUGCGUCCCCCAAUAACAGGGCACCCGGAGUUGGAUGUGGAUUGGCUGGCAUGCUUCUGUUUGGCAUCGUUCUUAUGUUUCCUUUCUCAAUAGCUGCUAUGAAAGCAUCAUAAAGCUGAGGAGGGAUCUGAAGCAUGAAACAAAAGCAAUUGAAUAUAAAGACUGAUAGCUAGCACGCAACGAAAAACGUAGAAAGUAUAAAGACAGACACCUGAGGGGCCACCACAGUCUUUAAGUAAUUGGCCAUUUCACCAUUCGAAAUGGAAGGCACCUUCUGUCCAGGAACGUCAACCAAACAGCGAGUCUCGGUGCUGCUUAUUUGAUAGAACAAGAUAGGUGACGGGUCCGCCAGGACAACAUGGCCAUGAUCAACAUAGGGAAGUUGACAGUUUUCCAGGAUCAAACCCACAAAAUAAGAAGGGAUGUCCACCUGAAAACACAUGUGAUUAGAAUCAUUUCUUGAAAUCGCAUGCUCCCCAGACACGCUUCUCACGUUCAUUAUCACUGUAGCAUAAUAUAGCUUCGACCAUCACACUAUAUAUUUACCUUGGGAUCACACAGGGAUCGUCGCAAAUUUGAAAAGCAGCCAUCACAAACUAUGGUGAGUGGGGCAUAAGCUGUCAUUUGCUGGCCAUCUUUAGUCUUGUAUUGCACCCCCUUAAUAAUUUCUUUCUUUUCAAUCAAAGAUGUAACAGUCCCCUGUUCCAGCCUUACACUGUACAACGAAAUUAAUAAAGACAGCAUCAAACAUCAACGAGUUACAUAUUUUAGGAGAAUCUUUUGACAUAUUCAUGGGGUCAUAGAUUGCGUUGUUGUAAUUUUGUCAAGGUAUGCCAUUGUCUGGACGCGGACUGAUGAUGGAUCAGUCCAAACUAAGCAUAAAAAGUCAAUGUUACAAUUUGUGUUAACUUAUUGGGUUGGAAUUAAUGGUCGAUUUAAGGAUCUUGGACGAUUUACGGUAUGGACGGAACAAAAUCUUUGAAGGAAGAAAGUGGUAAGUACUUUGGGAGGGUUGCAGCCUUCUCUCUCAUCCUUUGAAUAAAACGCCCAUUAUGAAAGCCCCUGCCUGAAAUAUCCGAGUCAAAUUUCUCCAAGGGAUAAGACAGCCUAGCGUCCUUGCCAUCUUUGUACAGGGCAUAUCCAAAAACUUGUUGAGCAUCAAUAUCUCUCAAACAAUCUGCAGGAAUAAAUUCAUCUCAGAACCAGCACGAUGCUAUAAAUUUAAACAGGCAGCAGAGAUGCAAGAUUAAAUGGACGGAUUUUCUUGGUAAAAUAUUAAAUCUUGAUUCAACCGAAAUAGCUAGCUGCUUUUAAAUGCAGCAGUACUUUUCGGGUGUUUUUUACAUGCAUAGCCGGAAAUGUUUGGCAACCUCUCAUUUAAUAUACUUGCCUUCAAGACCUAACUCAAUUAAUUUCAAGUAGCCGCCGGGUUGUAAAAGUUCACCAACAAUCCUGUCUGGUUCACUCAGGUCCCGCUCUAUCACGUGCACCCUGCGUCCAUCCUGCAGUACGGAUUACGUUCCAUUAGCUUAGCUUGAUAUAAAAUUUUAUGAUGAAAAGUCACAAACUAUUUUUAUACAAAAAGAAUCAACAAAAUCUUUUGAUUUUCUCCUUGUGAUAUUUAUAUGGUUCUUUAAAAGAAUCCUUUACUUUGUCAAGUUUUAAUUUUGAAGGCCCAAUCACAGUUGAAUUCUUGUUCUAAUACUAUAAAGGGCGAGUAUGGAUUCUCUCCUUCAUUUAAUAAGAUGAAGUUCCAAAAAAAAAAAAAACUAUGCAACCUAUUGCAUUAUGAGAAACUUACUUUCAACUUUUUUCUUUUAAAGCAACAAAUAGGGAGUCAAUAAGGUUAUGUUAGAAGUUAAUGCCACGCUGUUUGGAUUGUUAUUUUUAGGAGCUGUGUAAAAAAAAUAUACUGUAGCGAUUUGAUAUAUGUGAGGUAAAAAGAUAAAUUCACGAGAACGACAAAAUUUUUCUGUGAAAACUAACAAUCCAAACAAGGUUGGCUUACAUUAAUUUUUGCCUAGUAAUAAUCAACUCAUGUUGGUAGGUUUGCACGUCAAGUAUGCUGAAAGGUUCCAAGGAAUCCGGAAACUGACCUUUAAACGUAAGCUAAACUAUUUUAGGUACUUGUAUAUUGCUUAAUCAGUACUCAGUAGUGUGUUCUUUCAUCCCUUCAAGAAAAAUUUAAGUAUUCCGGAUCUAAAUCCCACGACUGGGCCUAAUGAAUCUAGGCAACUGCAUGCACCAUUUCGAAACUUUUACAGAACAAAUCUGACCAGCAAUUCUUUGGCUUCACACCCCCAAAAAAAAAAAAAAAAAAUCAUUGGCUUCAUACAAGUUCUUUUUGUUGCUAAGAAAAAGAAGAUACCAGGAAAACUUAACAACUUUGUGUCAAUCAGAGAUCCAUGUCCAUCAACUAAUUAAGGAGAUACUAGCAAAGAAAAGACGUAAGCAGUUGGUCUAUAAUUAGAAACGACUAUCUGAUGAGUCAUAUCCUACCAUUUUAGAAAAAAAGGGGGGGGGGGGAGGGAGGGGAGAGGAGGGGACGAAACGAUAUUUUAAGUGAAUUUUUGUGCGGCUAAAUUCACUGUUUCAAAUAAAUUGUUCUCAAACGUCCGUCCUCCAAAUGGGUUUUGUUCCAGAUUUUAGUUAUGGGAAAAAACAUUAAAAACUAAAAAAGAGUACAAUUGAAAUGAAAUUCAGACAAGGAGAUGACAUGCAUAUGCAAGAAGCCAAGAAUGUGCUUAUACGUGCGAACCAUGAAUGAAGCAUCACAAUUCACAAGCGGUUGAGAUUCAGGUCGGUAAUUAGUCGGUUUUCGGUGGCAAAAAAGACAACAGAAAGACUUAUGACUAGAGGUACCUUGCCAAGAGUGUAAGCCAAAGCCGACCCGGCAACCCCGGCACCAACGAUGAUGACAUCGCUUACACUCUUCUCAUUCUCCGACGCCGGACCAUCAACGUUGUUAACCGACGUCUUAAUGUACUGGUGAUCCUUCCUCUCGGCUAUCCGAUUAGCGGCCGGCGAUGGUGGAGCGUAUCUCUUCCUCUCCCGCCUGAUAAUUAGAUGGCUAUAUAACAACACAAAUCCCACUAACCCAACUACAGAAGCUACAAAAGCUCCCAAAAUGAAUUGAUUAAUCAUGAUGGGGAGAGAGUAUAGAAUGAGAUGAGAUGGGCUUCUUGAUCAACUCUCUCUCUAAAUGAUGCUUUUCGAAUGCGUAACAGUGGAGCUUAAGUAUGGGGUUUUGUUUUUUGAAGGAUUUGAGCAUGUUUUGAGGUAACAGAGCGCGGCGCCUUAUAUAGGCAAAUUUGAUUCAGCAAACUUUUUUGGCUUUAACGUCUUUAGUGAACAAUCGUUGUCGCGUCUGGUAACUAAAUUUUUUGGAUAUUUAUCUAAAAUUUUAUUAUAAUUUAUGAUAAAAAUUUUUUAAAAAAAUUUUAAAAUAUAUUUUAUUUAAAUAUUUUGAAAUGUAUAAUUUAAAAACUUUAAUUUAAAAUUACUGUAAUUAAAAUUUUUAAAAAACUUGUAGCAGAUAAACUUGAUAACAAACUUGCCUGUCAAAUCAGGCCAACUGUUUGGAAAGCAAUUUUUCAAAAAAAAAAAGGAUAUUUUUUAAUUAUUUUUUUAUAUCAAAUAUGUUAAUUUGUUAUAAUAAUCUUUUUACAAAAAAUUUAGAGAAAUACAAUCCAAACAAAGAAGCUUUUUUUUAAAAAAAAAAAAAAAACCCGUCUUUAGUGAACAAAACGUGUGAUUGCCCACCCCACUAAGUAAAUACGUUUAUCAUUACACAAAUAUUUCUGUCUUUUUCUUUUUUUUUACUUUUAUUUUUUCCGUCCUUUUCUUUUUCGAAAUCUUGGGGUACUGUUGCUAGUGCGCUGUUCGCGCGGCGCGGAGCAGCCUCAGCAGCUGCGUCCCCGUGUAAAAGAAUUAAUUAAUGAUAAGUUUGGAAGCUGCUGCCGCUAGAGGACCAUAAGAAAGUACAAGUUGUUCGCGUGGCAAUCAUCCAGUGGAACACCUUGUCCAUAAUAAGAGAAUAAUACUUGUGAUAUAUUUGUUGUGUUUUCUCUCCGACCAAUAAAUGAACAAGUAAGUUAAGGGCUCAUUUGGAUUGUUAUUUUUUAGAGGCUUUUAUAGAAAAAUAUAUUGUACUGAUUUGAUUUGAUAUACGUGAAAUAAAAAAUAAUUAAAAAUAUAUUUACAAAGAAUGUAAAACUUUUUCUACACAAAACAGCAAUCUAAACAAGGCCUUUAUUAUCUUUCACUUUUUUUUCCUUUUGUUUUAUUUUUUUGGUGUUUUUGUUUUUAAAAAUUGACUACACAUAUUAGCCAAGAGUCAUAAAAGAUGAUUGAUUAGCCUCACUGAUAAGGCAUUUUAUUGUUUUAGAUGUGGUCCCAAGAAAAAUUUUAGAGUGCAAUUAAAACGUAGUUCUUGAAUUUGGAGGCAUGCCUUAAUUUUGGGUUACCACUGAAUGAUGUGAAAAGCUACCUAAUUACAAUAAUAUAUUAUUUAGUUGAGUUUUAAUUGCAUGAUUGAAAAACUAUUCGAACAGAAGAUCCAACGAUCGGUUUAGCAUUGACAAAUUACUUCUGACGUGAGUCGCCUUCUCAUGCAAAAAAGGGAUAACGAUGAUAUGCACCUAGCUUAGCCAUAGUUCUCUACCAGUGAUUUUUCUUUUCCUCUCCAUCCAUACAGGAUGCGGCUCUACUUGGAUCAUGAAGUUCUUUUUCUUGCGUCUUCUCAAACAACUUUGUGUUUGGAUUACAUUUUUCAUGAUUUUUCAUGAAAAAAAUACUAUAACGAUUUGAUGUAGGUGAGAGAAAAAGAUAAUAGAAAAUUUUGAUUACGAAAAACGACGUAAUUUUUCGACGAAAAACAACGAUCCAAACAAGGAAGUGUUUCCCUUCUCAGACCAUGAAGUCCAUAGGUGAUGGAUGGGACGUCCAAUUAGCUAGAAACGGUGAGUGAUUGAGUUGAUAAAUACUUGCCUUACUUAAAGAGCUGAUAUAUUACAAGGUUCUUUCGACCAUAUAUAAUACAUGCCAAUUAUACCUGUUGCUCAGUAAAAAAUUUUCUCCAAAAAUCACUUCCGUGAUGAAUUGAUCUGGCUUGAUUGUGAAACAUGAUAUGAAUUUCUGGAUUAAAUGGCAAGAAAUAUUUGCCAAAUUUGUCAAUGCCGGGAAUCACAUGUCACCUUAAAUUAACAGCAGGAAAUAAAACAUUUAUGUGUGUACAUAAUUUCUGACUUCGGAGUGCGUCGGACAGAAACAGAGAGAGAGAGAGAGAGAGAGCGAAUCCUCACUUAGUCAACAAUGGAGUAUUAAACUCUUUCUCAAAUCUGGGAGGAGGGGUGAAAAAUGCGCGGUUAUAUGGGAAAAAUUUGACACUUGGAAUCCGAGUGAGGUGGUAGGUAGAGCCAAGUCAGCAGUUGACAGCGGGGGAUUGGUCGCAAUAUCACUAUAGCAACAGCUCGUCUGGAAGGGAUAGGAUUGAUUAUGUUUAUCGUUUCUGAAAAAAAAAAACAGCUCGUCUGGAAAGGAUAGGAUUGAUUAUGUUUAUCGAAGGGAUAGAAUUGAUUAUGUUUAUCGUUUUUGGAAAAAAAAAAACAGCUCGUCUGGAAGGGAUAGGAUUGAUUAUGUUUAUCGUUUCUGGAAAAAAAAAACAGCUCAUCUGGAAGGGGAUUUUUCCCCAAAAAAAUCUCUACAUUUUUCAUAAAUAUUUCUUUUUCAAUUAUUUUUAUUUCAUAUAUAUUAAAAUGUUAUAAUACAUUUUUUUACAAAAAUUACAAUCAAAACACGACCUUGGAGACAUGUCAGGUAAUCGUUAUUCAAUGUGUUUUGGAUUAUUUAUGAAUUACAAACAUUCACAUGAUUUUAUUUUAUUUCACAUUCAUUUAGUUAUGAUCACUGUAGGUAGUGAUCAAUUAACGCAGGUUAUAGUAUGAAAAUGUUAAAUCUACAUUCUUUUAUUCUGAAUUCACGUUUUGUGUAAAGUUUUAAUCACAAUCAUAUAAGCCAUGAAUAUAAUGGUAUAAACCGUUGAUUGCUGAAAUUUUGUAGAGUUUUUAAAUAUUAUUGUAAUUAAAAUUAUUAAAAAUUUUUGAUAAAAAAAAUUCAUCAGUUAAAUAGAGCCAAAAUUUUGCAGAUAUACUAUGAUCACACAACUCGAGGCCCAUAAAAUAAGCAAAAGUAGAGGGAAGGGGAGCUUAUCAUUUAUAUUUUGGUAAAUGUAAUUUAAUUUCAAAUGGCGAGGAAAAGAACAUAUUUUGAUUUUUAUGUUUACACCAAUAAAUUCACGCACAUCAUCUACGAGUUUUUCCCUUUUAUUUUUCUUUUUAUUGGUAACAAUUAGCAUUCCCAUUACCAUGUUGGAGGCGGGGCUGUACUCGUGUCCGUAUUGCUAUGGAUAUUUCGCUUUCGCUUUUUUUAAAAAAAAAAUAAAAAAAUAGUUCACAAAAGAUAAAAUGAAAUGCAUUAUUAUCUCGACAAGGAAUCUCCAGAUGUCCCCAGUCCAACCUUUUUGACAGUCACCAAUCGGGAUAUAGGUCAAUUUGGAAGUGCCUUUUAAGCUCUAUUAUUUUCUGCACUUCUGCUCCCGUAUCAUUAUUAAUAGUUUGAAAACGUAUCCACCGUACAUUUAAAUAAUAUAUAUAUAUAUAUAUAUCAGCGACCUUGGCCAAGGGCACUAAUGGAAUCAUAAUAAAUAUUUGUGUUUCUUGCCUCGCUCCAUUUUAGAAGCAAGGACUAACUAAUUCCUCAGCCUUUUUUUUAAGGAUAACCCACGGAGCUAAAUACAAAAAAAUUUGUGUCAGUAAUAAUUAAAUGCAUGUAACAAGCUACUUGAUUACUAUUUUGGCAUUGAACUAUUUGCAGUUUCUACAAAAAAAAAAAGGAAAAAUCUAUUUGUCCUUUCUAUUUUUGCUCAGUGAGGAUAGAGAAAUGGCCUUGAAACAAGUUAAAACAUUUUCUGCUCUUCAAAAUGCCAUUCAAACCUGUAGUACCCCAAAAAAGAUAUAUAGGAGAUGUAUUUUAUAAAAUCAACGUAUAUGGGAGAGCAAUUUACACAGAUACAAAUAUGUGUAAGAGAAGGAAAAUAAUACUAAAAAUAAUAUAUUAAUCACACAGUAAAAUAACAAAGCUAUCAAAGUUAUUUUUUCUCAGCUGAUGCAAUAAUAAGACUCCAUAUUCAUAGACUAGAUGAUUUGGUAAACAAAUUUUACAACCAUAAAGAAAUUUUUUAAUAAAAUAUUAAUUUUUAAAUAAUAAAACUACUAUAACUUGAUCCAAAUAGAAUUACAAAACCUUAAAUUGACAAAAAUACUGCUAAAUAAUUAUAUAAAAAUUUAUAUUUUUUAAUCUUGAUUUAAUAUGCUAACAAAACCUCUUCUCGCAUAACAAUUCUUUUGUUCUUGUAUUAUAAUGAGCGUUUACCUAUGAAAAGGAAGGAAGUCAUAUUUUAGUCUUUUUUUAAUGAAAUGUUUAAAAAGCUAAUAAAUAAAGGAGCUUACCCAAAAAAAAAAAGGAGGAACAUUUCAUUACACCCCGAAGUAGUGUGUUUGGAUAAUAAAUUAUUUGAGAUGAUUUUAUGAAAAAUUACUGUAGUAUUUUUUUGAAAUGAUAUAUAUGAGAUAAAAAAAUAAUUUAAAAAUAUAUUAAUAAUACAAAUAAAUUAAUAUAUAUAAAUAAAAUAAAAAUAAUGUGUAAUCCAAACAUAACCAUUUUUGUGCAUCAACCGUUCGCUUGCCCGUAAAUUAAUGGUUUAAAUUGGACUGUGACGUUUAGCUACCUGGGCAGCUUGGGAGUGGUGCCAUCCGCUCAUGAAUGUGCUUGCUUGAAAUGCAGGUGUACGUGUUGCCGUCCCAUCACCCAUACUGCCACCAAAUUUAUGACAGUCAAUGGGCCGAACUCGACUCAUUCAAUUCGAAAAAAAAAGCCAAUGAAUCGGACCAUUCAGUGAAUCGGUAUGAACUUUGAGUCUACAACUCAAACCUCGUUAGAUUCGAUAUAGAUUCUAUCCUUUAGUUAUCUAUAUAUAUUUAUAUAUAAUAUUUAUAUUUUUAAUAUUAUAUAUUCAAAUAUAUUAUUAUCAAAUAUUUAAUAUAUACAAAUUAUAAAAUACAAAAAUAUAGGUGAAAACUCUUUUACUAGUUUUCUUGAGAGUCAAUAUUGAUAAUACAUAACAGAAACUCUAAUUUUUCUUAUUAAUUGAGUAAAAUUUUUGUAUUGACAUAAUAUUGGUUGAUUUCGUUUAGGUCUAAAAACACAAAUUAUUGAGUAUGUUUGGGUUCAAGUCUUAAGGUUAUAAAGAAAUUCCAAUAUUUGAAGAUGUAUUGGCUUAUAACCGCACAUUUUAAUACUAUUUUUCAUGUACUUUGAACGAAUUACAUAUAAAUAUUAUUAAAAUUUUUUUGAUUUAUGUACUUUUUAAGAACUAUUACUUGCUUAUGUUUAGUUUUAAUAUUGUAUUGUUGUGAAUGUUAAAUUAGGUUUAUAACUCAAUAGUUAUAGUAAUUAUAUUAAGAAAAUUGAGGAGCAAAAAGUGAGUUUGGGUUAAACCCAAAUAAGAUUCAAAAUCCAAAUAUUUUGUAAGUUUAGUAUGAUUUUCACAUUUAUUAACUCAUAUCUCACGGCCCGAAAUUUAAAAACGUUACAAAUUAAAUGAGUUGAACAAGAAAUUAUAAAAACCCGAUUCAUAUGACUCGAUUUACAGGCUUAACCAAAUCUCGUAUAUUUGCACUUCGACAUCUAAAGUAUUAGUAACGUAUAGCGAUAUUUAUAUAUGUGCGUAUAGUUCCGCUUGAAGGAUAUGUGGACCUCUCUCUCUCUUUUUUUUUCCUCUCUUUUUGUAUUAUUUAUCGUAACACAUAUUGUAGUACUUUAUAUGUGAUUAUAAAAUAAUUAGUUGAAAAGACAAAAAGAUAUUAAGGAAUGCUUUUGAAACAAAUAAUGCAAAAGAAAAUUUCCGAAUAAUAUCUCAAAUUUCAAAGGCACACAAUGUUCUAACAAAAUCUUGGUCAAGGCAUAGAAAAUUUCGUUUGCGAGAUAAUUUUCAAAUUUAUUUUUGUGCCAUAAAACUUAUUAUUGUUUUUUUUUUUUUUGGGGUGUCACUUUAAUAUGAAGGCUUUUGUAGAGUCGGUCUUCCUUUUCUUGCAGAGCCGGUCUUGCACUAACCAGUGAACUAGACAAGUGAACCGUUCUGUUUGAAUUCUAGUAAAGGGGGGUGGGUUAGAACUAACGCCUCAGUUCAUGUACAGUAACUCUUCAUGCAAGAGAAUUGGAUUUUAUUAGAAUAAGAAAAAGAGUACGCGUGUAAGUUUGAACAAUCCCAGCACGCUGGUAUUAAUUAGGUAUUUUUACUACGUACUUUCCUAAACAGUCUUAUGUAACCCAUCCCAGAUGGGUGACUUCUUUGCAGGAAAUAUGUAUAUUCUCCGGGUUUUACUUUGUCACCAUACUAGGCAUAUUCUGGGUCAUCGUGGAUCCGCCUUGUUUGGAUUAAAAUUUUCUGCACAAAAAUUUUUUUAUUUUUUGUAAUCAUCAAACAUUUUUUUUUAUUUCACAUUCAUUAAAUCGUUAUAAUAUAUUUUUUCAUAAAAAAAACUAGAAAAUGGCAAUUCAUAGGAGAUCGAUUGGGGCUAAUGUAAGGCUUCUUUUUGGUUUAGCAGGUAAUUAAAUUCCUUCAGGAAAUUCUCUCUUUACUUGAUAUGUGGUGAUGAUUAUUGGGUCUUCUCAAAUCAGACCAUCAUGCUAUUGCUGCUGUAAUUCUGCAGCAACGAAUGUCCGGCGGCUAAAUAUUUUUCGUUCUUUCUAUUUCUGUCCCCACGUCCGAAGCUAAUUCGGGAAACUUAUCUACUGUAAAAUUAAUGUCAAAUGGCUCAUCAAUUGACAACUCGAAAGUCUUGACAUCCACGGAACCACCACCUUCAUAAAUUUGGAUACGUCAGGAUAUGCAAACAAUUAUACCGUAACUCUGGAAUUUAAACUAUAGCUAGAAAGUCGGUCUGACGUAAGUAUCCUUAGAUUUUUUUUUUUUUUUUGACAAGAAAAUCCAUAACUGCUAUUCGAGAGUGUGCAUUGAGUACUGAAAAGUCUCGUAGCCCUUAUUUGAAAGUGUGCAUAGGGAUGGCAACGGGGCGGGGUUGGGACGGGGGACCCCUCCCCCGUCCCCUGCCCUGUUGCCUAUUAGUUCCCCCCGUCCCCCGCCUCCCGCUCCCCCCGCCUUGCCCUGCUUCCCCUGCGGGGUUAAUAAAAUUUUAUUAUAAUUAAAUUUUAAUAAAUAAUCAAGUACUAAAAUAUCAACACAUCACCAAAUUAUUAUUCAUUGUAAUUUUACAAUUGAAACUCAUAAAAACAAUUAAACAGAAGUUAUUUGAAUACAAUCCAAUAUGAUGAAAUAAAUAUAACUAAAAUAAUCAAGUUUUCACUUUUAGUACAAAUGCAAUCACUAAUUCAUUAUUGUGUUUGUGCUUUUUUUUUGAGAAAAAGUGUUAUUCUAUUAAGUGUAAUUAGAAAUUUAGUAUAAAUGUAUUAGUAAAUUUAGUAUAACUAAUUAAUAAAUUUUAUUAGUAGACAUGUAUAAUUAUUCAUAUAAUUGAUAAUAUCAAUUAUAUUACAUAAACUACUAUACAUUAUAUAAUACAUCUAACUAAUAAUAUCAUUAUUAUAAGUUUAUAACUAAUUAACUUACAUAUUAUAUAUAAUUAUAUAUAUUUUUUUUUUGCGGGUGGCGGGGCGGGGGUAUACUCCCCCGUCCCCCGCCCCGUUUCUAAGCGGGGGGGGGGAAAAGUUCCCCCCCGCCCCCGCCCCAACCCCCGCCCCGAGAGCUCUCCGCGGGCACCCGCCCCCAUUGCCAUCCCUAAGUGUGCACUGGGUGCUGGAAAGUUGGUCUGGCGGAAGUAUCAUUAGAAUUUUUUUUUUGACAAGAGAACUCAUGGCUACUAUUUGAAAGUGCGCACUGGAUAAACUCCGUCCCAUACAAUAACUCGUCAAACACACAAAGGGGUAAGACGCACUAGAUAAGCUCGAUGCAAUGAGUAGAUGUCCUAAGAGAGGUUCUAACGUGGAUUGAUAGGAAGACAUGACACUAAUUCUACCAUCUCAACCAAUUCAAGGGACAAGUAUCCUUAGAUUAUCAUUAUCAUGUGACUGGUAAAAGGGAGUUUCCAAAAACCUUCAAAAACAUCCAUGAUGAUGGAGUUGCUUUGCAAACCGGAAGGAUUGUUUGGAUAGCAGAUUUUUCCAAAUAAUAUUUUGUUUGCAUCAUAAACACAUCUUCCAAUCCAUCUUUUUAUAUUUUCAAUCACAUUUUUGUUUCACAUACAUCACAUCACAAAAAGUGUUACAAUAAUUAUUUCAAAUAACACUCUAUCAAAACACAAAUUGGAAUCAGUUUGACACCCAAUACUUCGCCUUGUAUAAUUAAAUCCAUUUAUAGCUGCGCUUCAAGGCUAGAGGUUAUACAUAUACAUAUAUAUGUGCAUUUUGGAUGGAGGUCUAAAAAUGUAGAAAUGAAUACGCUGUAUAAUGACUCGUUUCCUUUCCAUGAAUCUUCUUCCUUUUAAACGAGAUAAAAAUUGAUCUGCAAGUACAUCAUAUAUAGAUGACCUUACUUGAAGGAGAGACAAAAAGAUACUCCCAUCAUGCCAGCAGGAUGACAAUUUGUCAGUGACUAACCAGUUAUUUGCUCGCUCCAAGGCUUCAGAAUUAUUUCUUGCCGGUGAAGUUAAUUAGUCAAAUUUAUGAGCAUUUGUACGUAUCCCGCAACAACAGAGAUGCGUCCAUAAUCAAAUGAAAAGGUUCAACUAAAACGCCAAUUUGAACCUCGACAAGUACUCGCCAGUGCGCGUAACUCCGUGUGUAACGGCGUGAGAAAAAAGAGUCAAGUCAACAACAAACAGUUGGGAUCUGCAAUGAUGGCUAGGAUAAUUAUAAAUUUCAGGUAAAAAGUUAGAGUCCGUUUGAAUUGUUAUUUUUUUAAAAAUUUUUAUAGAAAAAUGUAUAGUAACAUUUGAUGUAUGUACAGUAAAAAAAUAUAAUUAGGAAAUGAAUUCAUGAAAAAUAUAAAUUUUUUUUUGUUGGAAAAAAAUGACAAUGUGGUGUGACACUUCCUGCUAGAUUUCCUUCUUUAGUGCGAAAUUGGCUUGUUACUUUCCUGUUUGACUUUUUUUAUUUUAAUCAUACUUGGUUUCGUCUGUUGUAUAUUUGGUCAAUUCUUGAUUUGAUUUGCUUGCCAUUUGCAUAUGCCCAAAUAUUCCUUCUAGCACAACAACGUUCUCCACGGCUUGACAGCAUUGCUGCCUUCUCAUAUGAUAGCUUGCGGUCUGUUUGUGCCAGAAUGAUUGUCGAAUUAUCUCUCAAUUAAUUUAAUUCGUUGAUUCUUUUUGGUUGUUUUGUUUCUAGUUUUUUUUUUACCGCGUAAAUUCCUUUAUGCAUUUGUUUGGUGAGCCAAGUUCUUUCUUUGCAGUAGCAAGCACUAAGCAGUGACUUAUUCUGAUGUGUCAAAUUUCUUUUAUGGUUCGCCAAUUUUUUUUCCCUCCUUGUUUUUCACCUUUUAAACGGAGUUGGACUUCAUGGACCCUAAGUUUUAUUAGAAAAUUCACAUUUAAUAAGAAGUUGCAGUUGAUUUUAUUUGGUAAAACGUUUUGUCGAGAUUCUUGAAAUACAAUUAUUAUAUAUAUAUAUAUAUUAUAUUACAAAAAGUGUUACAGUAAAUAAUUUUUAAAAAUAAAUCAAUCCAGUUGGACUCAACCAACAUGCAUAAAAAUCCUAAAAAAAAAAAACAAUUUCAGGGAAACAAAGAAAGCUCCAUUUGACAAGAAACUCAACCGCGGAUAUUUCCGUCCAAUAGGGGGUGGGAGAGUUGUUUUCUACCCGGAAAUUAAAAAAAAUAUAAAUAUAUCAAUUUUUCGGUUGUUACAUGGAAUUUUUGUUUUUCUCAAUGCAAAGGAUACUCCAAUAGCUUAGUAGCACGAACCUGAGUUGCCUAUAUUGACCAAGUAUUCUCUCCUCGAGCCUCACAACGAACAGCCCUUCUUCUUCCUCUACGUCAACCAAUCCUCCUGUUAUCUUUCUUGUUGGACAUUUGCCUACUAGCCCGUUCAUCGACUAGACUAAGUAUACAACUAUGAGCUCGUCUCAUUAAUGCGUCUGCCGAAUUCUAUACAGGAGGCACAAUCAUUCAACUUUCAGGCAUGGGAAGAAAAAUGAUGAUAGGCUGCAUGGAUUGAUUACAAACCGCCAAAUGCCACAGCUCUGACUCACCAAACAUCCAGUAAUUAAGAACACCACUAGUAUUCAUCUUAGACGGUAAUAACCUGGACUUAAUCUACCGGCAGCUAUAUAUAGCGAGUCUUUCUGGCAUCAAGCUCCAAAGUUUAAAUUAGUAUAUUCAAGAGUAGUUUAGAUCACGCCUUGAUAGUAUGGCUCUAAUUAACCAUCAAUAUUUUGUUACUUUUUUAUGGAUAAAUCCUGUACGUAUGUACUUACAGUAUAUAUAUUAUUGGGUCUGGAUGCAUAUAUUGUAUUUAAAAUUAGUAUUUAUAUUUAAAUUGAAAUAAUGCAGCAUGCAUUUAAACUUGUCAGUGAUACACUAACUAACAGUAGUGUACGAUAGACUACUAAUCCGUGGGUGAUAAAGAGUAAUAGGAUUGAUAUUUACGGGGAUAAGGCCUUUAGAGGCGGCCUAGGUACAAAAUAGACAUGCGACUGACGCAGAACUUUGGUAUGGAAAAUGAUGGAGGAUUGAAAAGGAAAUUACAUCUCCACCAAAUCGCAAUCGAGCUAAAUUUGUUAGCUCGAGAUGUCCUCAACGAGCGACGUCGUGUCUUGAUAUCCAACCAUACACAUACAUGUUAGUGGGCGUUUUCAGGCUUUGAUUUGAUAAGCAUUUGAGUAAUGUUGUAGUCACAGGAUUAAUGGUUGCAGGAAAAAAGUCGAUUUUUGUUAGGGGAUCGGCAGGCGCUUAGCUCAAAUCCUAUGAGACAAUCCCAUGUAUUAAUGCCUUCAUUUAAUGCCUUCCAUGUAUCAUUCUGUUUCAGUCCAUUCUAAACUAAGUUGUCUUACUUUGUUCUGCGUUUGCCGUGUGAAUUCACGCGCAAACAAUUAAUAUUAUCUCACUUUGCAUUUAUAUACUUUUUGAUUGUAAUUUUAUUUCACUUUUCAAUUCAAGAAUAUAGUUAAUUUUUAAUUUCUUUAAAAUAUUCAUAUUUAAUAUAUUGCACUGUUAAUAAAUAUAGCCCAUUUUAUUUAAUAUAGUCAACUAUUUCACUAAUAAUUGCUUUGAUACAUGUCUUGACCAGAGUCGUUCCGAAUUACUUGAGUAGGUAGAGGAGAGGACGGGCGGCACUCAUUUCAUGAAUCGUCAGGCACCGCCGUCGGUACUCUUUCUUGCGUCUUUGAAAUAUGAAGCAGGAACACAAAUUUUACAACGCAAGUUGCCGGGGAAGUGAAGUGGGAGUACAAGUUUUACUACUUCCUACCCGCUCCCCCAUUGAAAAUUUUCAGUUUUCACAUGCGUCCGGUUAUGUGCAUGGCAGAAAUUCUUGACAGACGGUGGCAAUCUACCAAAAAGAGUACUGCCUUGCUAGAAUUUCUCGUUCACCAUCAAUUAGUGCUCUUUGGUCCAACAUCCUUAGUUUCGUCAAAACUAGCUACUACAUGUUUUUUUUCUUUUAUUUUUAUGGAUACGAUAUUUGCUAAUUUACAUCUACUUCUAUGCCAUGGGAAUACGCCAAAAGAAGUGUAGCUUUUGAGUUAACUAUUAUAAGUCGGGAAUACACCCAUUUUAAUUAUAUUGCUAUUUUUAAUAAUUUUUAUAAAAAAAAAAAUAUUCUGACGAUUUGAUAUAUGCAAGAAAAAAAUGUGUUUUAAAAUUGUAUUUGCAAAGAACGUAAACAUUUUUUGAGAAAAAAUGGCCGUAGCUAGUGACUACUAACCUGAACGAGUUGGUUAUCAAAAACCAGCUACUGUGUACAUUGAUCCGGUUUUGAACACUUUCCCAUCUUUUCCUCUCUCUUUUUUUUUUUUCAACUUUUUCAUAAUUAAUUAGGAUUAAAUUUAUGGAGGGUUGCCCUCCACUUUGCCUAAUGGGUUCUAAGUCUUCUGACUCCAAAGCUGCAAGUGGUGAUAAUUUGUGGAUAUCCACUACAUAGACUUUGAAAUUUGAACGCUGAAUCCUAAAUAUUGUCAACUCGUUUACACUUUGAGCUUCAUUAAUUAGCUGCUAUUAUGCGGUGCUUGUUUUGCGUCUCCGUCAGCACUCUUGGUAUUGGUCUUUCUGCGCUAAUCCAUUCUUUUCUGUUGAAGUAGACGAAACAGAAAAAGUCUACGGGUUUGUCUGUAUAUUUCCCAGUAUCCGCUUUUGGGUCAAGAGGGCACCCGUUUCAACCCUUUUUGGUGGUUGCCACAGUGAUUUCAGACCUAGUACCGGCAAGUCCAAUUCAUCGCAAACUUUUAACUUGAGAAAACUUCUUGCUUUAACGAACCAAUUAUGCUGUGCUAGUCAAGACUAGACAAUAGUGGUCAUGAUUAGAUGUGUUUUGAGUUUUGGAUCGACAUCGAUCCAGAUUUUGAUCAACCGAUCAAUGGCUGUAUCUGCAGCAGUUCAGAGAAAAGCUGUCGAGCCCAGAUGGUGGGUUGAGUUAGGAGUCGUAUCAUCGUAGUUAACAACACCAAUGAAGGAGCAUUAAUAAAUUCAGCAAGCACCCAAGAAACUGCCAAUCGAUUUAUGAUACCAGUUAACAUAUAUGCGUAGAGAAGCUGAAUUAGCUCGAGCAUUUAAUGGAACCAAAGCUUCAUUUUGCUAACCAACUUUCAGAUAACAGUAAAAUGUGGUGGGUGGAUCUUGUUGGACUGGUCUUGAUCAACUCCCCCAACCAUUUUGUCAAAAACAGUUACGUGGGCAUUUACACAAGUAAUAAUAAUGUUGAUGGUGUUUGAUUAGGAUGUUAUGAUUUGCAACCAGUUAACCAAAUUGGACUUGGAUCCGCAAGUGUUUUCCUGGCCUCCCUUUUGUCAGCGCCAGCUGCUUCCUUUCACAUCUAAGUGAUCUAAUGAAGUAGCUUGAUGAACCUGAAGCAUAUAUAGUCAUGUUCGAUCCGUGCAAGAAACUAGUUCAUUCACACAAAUUCCAUUUAGGAAAGACUGACUUGCAUGCACAAUCGUUUUCAACUUCAAUAAAUUCAAUAAAGCGUUUUUAACUCUUUUUCUUUUCAUAUAAUUAACUGCAAAAUAUAUUGACAGCAAUCAAGAGUUCCCCUAGCUGUUACAGAAUCGUCCUAAUGCUACGGGGAUGGCAGAUGCCUCUGGCGUCCUCAUCAAAAGCGAAAAGGAGUUCUGGAGAGGACAUAAUUCAAAAAUCACAAAAUUCUGAUCCAGUUUGCUAUCCAACUUCGCUAAGAUGUCUGCACAUCUGUUGGUCUCACGGUAUACGUGCCUGCCUGAGUUUAGCAUCCUGGAGCCGCGAAAGAAAGCAGGCAUCUGCAGUCCAUGAUAAUUGGAUGGAAAAGAUGACGAGAAUCAACUUAUGAUGCUAUUCGGGCAAUACUCAUGAUGCAAUUCAUCAAUAAAUCUAGAUGUUAUGUCGAGUGAUUGAUUGUAGUUGUACAUGUCAUCUGAUUAAAUCCGUAUUAUAUUUGAACUCAACGGGUGCUAUGCGAAUCCGACUGGAACAUCCUCUAUAGCGUUCCAACCAUGGACAAACUCAUUUAUUUAUAAGAUAAAUUUUAGGAGCAAAUCGAAUUGAUGGGAAAACAUGAAAAUAAGCAAAAUAAAAAGUCCACGCACAAAAGGAAACCUUGGCAAGUCAAUCUCAAACUUUCAUUUCAAGAGGUAAUUUGCCUGAUUGUUUCAUCUUCAUGAUGUGCCAACGCGGGCUCCAGCUGUGCGUGCCACUUAAGGCAUGAGGCUGAGGAUACUUUUCUCUGGAGUCUAUGACAAAGAUGUGAAAUGAAUUUUGUAUUUAUUUUGAAAGUUUUUUUUUUCUUCCAAUGGAUGUUUAUCGUUGGUAUAUAUAAAUUAUAUUAAUUCAAGGGAUAAUUUCAGAAACCUCCCCUAAGAUUUCUAAUAUUUCACUUGACUUCACUAAGGUUUUAAAAAUUAUACUUACAUCCCUUGUCGAUCUAUUCAAAAUGAUAAUACUAAUAUUAAUAUUUUUAAUAAAACUCUCUUAUUGCCAUGUUUAUCCAAGGGAUGGAUUUUAUUUUUUUGUUACCAUUUUCCUUCUUAUUCAUUUCUCUUACAUUUCAUUGGAAGGAUAGAAGAACUAUCAAUGUUGCCCCUAAUAUCUAUCUAAAUUAAACGUUAAACUAGUAAUUUUUUUUGAUAACUUUUAAUAUCCUCCAAUUUUUUUUGUGGCUCUUUUUUUGGGGUAUCAAAAUCAAGAAUAAGUCAACAAUGAUUAAAAAUAAAUGGCCCAAAAUCGCUACCAAAUUAUGAUAGUUCUACCACUAAACUAGUCCAUAAAUUUUUAUUAAAAAAAUAGUCCAUAAGCUUUAAAAGAAACAAAAUAGCACUUUCUUCUCUGUCUUAAAAAGAAUUUAUAUUUCCAAUUAAAAACUAUGAAAAAUAGCCUAUCGUAGCAAAAGAUUUAUUGUUAUAGUUGAUUAUUAAAUAAUAAAUAUUAGCAUGAAAGACUUGACACAUUUUUUGUUUAGAAGAACAAAUUAAACUUUCUAAGAUAAGGGGAAUUUAGGGUAUUCAUUAAAUUUUUUACUCUAUUUUAAAGUUUGGUUACCAAAGGGUUAAAUCAAGAGAGGUAAGUGUAAUUUUCAAAACAUCAAGAGAACUAAGUGAAAUAGCUAGUAAGAAACCUCAAGGGAGGUUUAUGAGAUUAUCCCUUAAUUCAAUGUGUGAAAGUAUAUGCAUGUGUUUAUCGUACUCAUUGGGUUUAGACUUCAGAUACUUUUGCGAAUUAACUAUAAUUUUAUAAAAAAUUUAACACUUUUCGUCGCGUAUUUAGUGCCAAUAAUGGCAGAAGGUGCGCGAAAGUACUUGGAUUUAAAACUAAAUUGCCAUGAAAAAAAUGCUUGAAUUAUAUUUUGUUUCAUGAAAUGAAUGGAAGACGUACAAAUCCAGCGUAACAUAUUAAAGCAGCCAUAGCGGCCAGCGGAAACACACUCGGGGACGGAAGCAGAGACCUGGCGGCCAUUGAUUGUACCGGACGUGUAAAUGUCAAUGGCGGCCAUCAAUCAUGGUUGUACUGAAUCUGUAAUUAUUAAUGAGGAACGGACCAACUCAAAAUUUCUGAUUUAUUUCCCGCAAAGACAGUACCAGUCUCUUUAUUUGCUCGCUUUUUUUGGUUUUCAAGUUUUGACGGUAAGGAAGUGCAAAGAUCAUGGAGGGAUCGGGGGCACGCAAACCGCUCAUAGACCAAACACUAUGGGGGAAAAAAUCUUUAGUUCUUUUGUUGUUGUACUAGUAUUUAUUCCUGGGACGAAGAUCCUAUGCAAUCAAUAGUGAUAAUGGUAAUUGCAAGGAACAGUUCAUGGUGAUAGAUGUAGUGUUUUAAAAUUUGAUCAUUGAGAUUGAAUUUGUGGGCACAAAUUUUAACGAGUGACAGAAAUUGUGCUGUUGUCGUAGCGUACGAGAGUUUACAAUCAUGAGUUGUAUCCGAGUCCCGGCAAUAAUUAUAAUUUGGGAGUGUUUGGAUACCUACGCUAUCUCAAAAAAUAUUUCGCUUGCAUCAUAAACACAUCUCCCAACCUAUCUUUUUAUAUUUCCAAUUAUCUUUUUAUCUCACAUACAUCACAUCACAAAAAGUGCUACAGUAAUUAUUCCAAAUAAUAUUUCAAAUAAUACACUAUCCAAACAAACCUGUAUUACAUUAUUUCUGUGUAUUGUUCUAGUGUUUACUUGAGUCAUUUUAAGACUUUUGCUCAUUAAAAAUGCUGUGAAGCACAAGUGAAGCAUUUUAAAACAUGACAUGUUUGAGGGAUCUAACCACUUCUUCUUUCUUCCUUAAAACCACUAAAUUGUGGUAACCAUUUUGGUUGUAUGACUUGGCAGGUAAAAUUGAGUUGCAGCAAAACCAAGCCGUGUACAACACUUCUGCUAAUUUCAUAUGACAAUGACGAUAUUUCUGUCAGGUGCUCUUAAGUAACUCGUUAACACAAUUAAAAUUCAUCUAAUCUAUUAUAUAUAUGGAUUAAUCUUUCGUAUACUGACAGUGACAACUAUAUAAAAUUUGAAUUUGAAAUUCAAUUUUUGCACACAUGUCAUGAACAAAACGAUGAAAGUGUAUAUAUUGUCAGUAUAUAUAAGAUUUACUCUAUAUAUAUAUAUACAUACACUAAUAACUAUUAUCCUCCCCCGUAUUUAUAUUUUUUUUUAAAUUUAAUUUUAUCCACCUUCCCUUAUAUUUAUUUACUUUCUCCAAUUAAUUUUAUAUUUUUAAAAAUAUAACGCGUAAAAUAUAUCUUAAUGAUAGCCUAUGGCACCCGUUAUUUUAAAUGCUGCUUAAAGUCGGUGAAUGGAUGAUCCCUCAUCCAGGCAGCAACCUUCAGGCACAAAAAAGCUUGUCAAUCAAUCGGUUCAACCCGCCCUUUUCUGCUACAGUUAUGCGGAUCACCGCGCAAGAAAAUCAGGGAAAGUCUGUGCUUAUACCUUUGGGGAAUUCGAGAAUAUGAAGGCCUUCUUUUAAGUGGGCUUUUGUAUUUGUGUGCUUUGGGCUCAUACAUCCUUAGCUCUGAUUAGUAAAAUUGGAAUUGUAUUCCAAAGUUGCACGUAUGCUUGUAGCCCAAGACCAGCCUUGGAAAGAAAGAGAAAAAGGAAAGCAAAAGAAAUGUGAAUAUCCUUGUUGACUAUCUUACCCUUUGAUUUGGAAAGAAUAACAAAAUUACCAGAGCUUGUAACGGCUACUUCGGACCGGUCAGUUGUGUUUUUAAAAUUCGUCGGCACAAACAAGCUUCUGCCUUCCUCUUGUACGGUUUAUCCACCGGGCCCACCACCUCACAGUGCAAAUUUGAGCUUUCUCUUCCAAUCUCAACCACCCCUUCUCCCACCUGACCUGACGCUCCUCCCCGGCCACCCCCUUUUGUCUUUUGCCCCCAGUUGAGAGAAAUGGCUGAGGAGGAAGCUAAAUUAUCAGCAGACUCCAUCAGAUGUAAUGAUACAGAAAUGGAAGACAGAGAUGAAGGGGAAAAUGAAAAGUUUUAUGAAGAUAUUGAAGCUCCUAAGUUCGUUGAUUUUACUGUCCCAGAUCCUUACCGUCCUGAUGAUCGGUAUUGGUUCUGCUUGCGUGUGGGUAAGUCUUUGAAUUUGGUCUUCAUUUACUAAAUUUUAUUGGUAUUUGAAGUUAUUUUUAGUAUAGCAGUUAUAGAGUUAUUUUGCUAUAUUUGGUUUUGAAGCUGAGCUCCUGUCAUUUAAUUAUACAGAUUUAUUUCGUCAAGAUUCCUUUUGGGAAGUCUGUGGAUUGGUAGAGUUGGCUACGGAUACUUACAGAUUGAGUUUAUCCCUUCAAAUAUUCCUGUAACUGCAUAGUCUAUCUAUUUUUUGAGAAGCAGUAAAGUAUUGUUCAGCUUUGAUCUAUUCAACAUUACAUUUCAGCUUGUCUUCUUCUUUAAUAGGUUGUACAAGUUUCAGUGUAGCUGUUUGGAAUCUGCUUUUAUGUAGGCAUUUAUGCAUGUAUAGAUAACAUGUGGACAUUCAUCACUCUUACAUUACCAAAAUCUUGUCCUCCGUCAGGAAAGCUGUUGGGGGAAUUUUUUUUUUCCUUUUUUUUGGGGUUGGGGAGGGGAUGUUGUUGCUUUGCAAAGAAGAAUCAUAACUUAGAAAUCUCCAGACUUGAUGAAUGUAGUAGGACGAUUAAGCUUUUUGUGUGUGUGUGUGUGUGUUUUUUUUUGCUGUUUACCUUGUUUCUGUCACAGGAUGUGACCAGAAGCACGAGGAAGAAAUGGAUUCUGAAGCAAUUUACAAGAAUUUUGUCCUUCGGGUUAGUGCUAUUUCGUGGUUUCUUAGCUCAAUUGGCACAGCUUAGACAUGGAUUGAACAACUUGCACUUCUGGUUCACACAGGUAAUGGCAGCAAGAAGUCCCAAUGUAAGACUUCACAAGGCGCUGAACAGAAAUUGUUCAAGGUUAGUGCAAAAACUUUUUAGUACUUUCAUGCCUAUUGUAACAUAACGUUUCCAUCCAUGUGAUUGGCUUUUUUAACUGAGGUGAAUUGAUCUUUACUUUCAGUAGAAACAUGAAAUGUCCGCUUUCAGCUCCCCCAAAAUCUUCCAAGUCUAGAAUGUCAAGAUUAGCUAUCAUAUCAUCCAUGUCUAAAAAGAUUGGCGCUGACAAAGAGAAGGCCAAAGUUAAUUGUACCCCAAAGACCAAGGGAAAACAAGUUGCUGCAAAGUAUCUUACAACUCCUAGGAACAAAAACUGCAUGCAAAAUCAAAAUGCCUUUCGAAGUGUUCAGAACCCAAAGCCACCUAGUGUUGCCGUGCCAAAAUGCCGGGUCGUUGCAAAGGCUCUGAUCUUUCACUCCCCAAAGACAGCCAUUAGUAUGAAGAAAUCUGUGGAAUUGCGCACUCCUUUAACAAAAUUGUGUGAAGGAAUGAAGAAGCUUGAGGUAUCUAGUCAGAGAAAGCCUGUACUUGGUUGUUCUAGCAAACAACCAAAGCAGCUCGGACAUAAUUCUCAGAAGUCACUGCCACAACAUUCUUCAACAAGACAGAAAGGUUCCAACAAGGAAAAGUGCAGAGCAAAGAUCUCACAUAAGUUAAAUACUACUCAAAUCAACCAUGAUCCUAAAUCUUUGAGAUCUCUAAACAGCAAGAGCAAGGACAAAUUGAGCAAAGAGUUCAACACAAAGAUUUCUUCUGCUAGGGUAACUAAGGCAAAAUCAAGAGUUGACAACAGAAAGCGUCCUGUAAAAGAAGCAGCCUGUCCAAUCUCACAUGAGCCACUAUCAACAGAGUUGGAGUCAUGUGCUGCCUUGAGCCAUGAACUGAACCAUUCACCAAAUUUGGCACUAGCAAAUGAGGGAGGGAAAUAUCUUCCAAAAUUACAAGCUUCAUGUAAAGAAAAUGAUGCGAUUCAGGAAAAUGUGCGAGAAAACGACAGUAGUACAGAAGUGAGCUCAAGGAACGGAGAGAAUUUGAAUAAUGUUUUGUCACAGCAAGACAAUUCACUUUGCUCAAGACGUCAAAUUGAAAUAUCACUCGGCGAUGACAAGGAAAAUGCUUCAGCCUUAGAUGAUAAGAGGUCUGGAAACUGUUUAUAUUUAUAUAGAGUAAUUCUCUAGACAUGCUUCUAUUUAUUCACUUCCUAAAUCAUGUUUAAUGGUGGUGCUCAUUUACAUUGAAUCGCAGAAAUUACGACAAGAAGGAUCAGUCAGGAAGAAAAAUUCUUGGCACACAAAAUUCUGAUGGAAAAAUGGUUUGUUUCUUUUUUCUGUAUAAAUAUUUCCAUAUUACCAGAGGAUUCCAAUCUGUCUCAGUUUCCUGCACAAUUUUUUAGGUCAUUGAAGCAAUUGAUAAGGACGUGAAAGGGCCCAUUGUUGGUGCUCCAGGAAUGAAGUUGAAGCUAAAACCCACACAUCCUAAACCUUUCAGGCUAAGAACUGAUGUAAGCUGCUUUGAACAUAUGAAACUAGCUUCUGGAGGAACUGAUGCUGCCUGGAAACCUCUAAUACUAAAAGUUUGGUUUGCAGGAAAGAGGAAUUCUUAGAGAAGCCAACUUGGAGAGGAAAAAUCAAGCCAUAACUCCUCAAAAUGAAGCUGCCGUAGUUUCAAGAUUUCAAGGCGGAGACUUGCAGGGACAACAUGUUGAUAUUCAAGUGAGUUCUUCUUCUUCUUCUUGUUUUUUUCUCCCAUUCUUUCUUCUUUGUGAAAAGUUGUAUGCUGAGUUCAGGGGCUUUGCUUUGUCUGUUUAAGAGUUCAUACGUGCAGAACUGUUGAAAGUCUAUUAACACCUUAUCCUACUCGUGCAGAACGAAAUAGCUUCACUAAAACGUACACAUCGGCAAGUAAGAACGAAAACACCUACUGGUCCUAGUAGAGUUAAACGCUCAGAGCAACAAGAACUGAAGCCUGAAAGUAGCACAAGUCAAGCGUCAGACUACGACUUGAAGAAGACGAAAUCUUCUUCAAGACGUGUUCUGCAACCACAGAGGUGAGAAACUAAAAUAACUUGGUUUAAAUAGGGUUUACAAGCAAAAUGGUCUUGUGGACUAACUUGUUUGAUCACCUCUACAGGCACUUCUCAGUUACCACAGAGGCAAGGACUCCAGACAAACUACUCGGUGUUAUAAUGGAAACUUCUUCAGGAAAAUCAAAACCUGAGGAAGUGGAAAAGCCAUGUAAGAAGGGUACUACUAUACCUACUGUGGUCAGACCUAGAGCUCCAGCUUGUCCAAGGUCACUAUCACGCGGAAGAAGGCCUGUUACCAUCCCCAGGGAGCCAAACUUCCAUAGAUCCCAUAUGCCAACGAGUCAUGCUGAAAAAGUUUCAUAAAUACUUGUCAUCGUUGUACCAGCUGAGUGUACCAUAUCUUCGUGUUCAAUUAUUUAUUGAAUUCUUUGCGUUGCUGCAUCUUAUACAUGCUGAUUUUGUUUAUCAUUAUGUAUUAUUUAGGGUACUGUGGUUUUUCUUUGUAGAAACAUAUGGAAGUUGAAGGAAAGUUUCCUGAUAUUUGUUUGUUAAAAGACACAGUAUAUCUAUCGCGUGAUUUAUGUAAGUGAACUCAUUAUUUAAUAACAGGUGAGGGGUGGGAUUUUUCAUUCAAAGCCAUUUAAAUGUCAAUUUGGCCAGCUAAUGCUGUUAAAAAUGAUGGAAUUGUUGACUGCCACUAAUGGAACCCUUGCAACAAGCACUAAAGUUAGGGCUAAGAUAAAACAAAACCUAAUACAACUGCAGAAUCCAAAAUGAAAGGGAAAACAAAAAGAGAUUAUUUGUGAGAUUUUUUGUGAUGCGAUGUAUGUGAGAUAAAAAGGUAAUUGAAAAUAUAAAAAAAAAUGAGUUGAAAAAUAUAUUUAUGAUACAAACGAAAUAUUAUUUGAGAUAAUUGGCUAUCCAAACAAAUCCAAAUGGGCUUCUUAUUCCUGUAAUAAUUAUUUCGUUUAGUAACCCAAGUGGGUAGAAUGCAUGCUGCAUUACCAAGAUUAACAUACGUAAAAAAGAUCAGGGUACGAAGUUUGAAUGGUUGGAAACCACAUUGGUUAAAAAGAGGGCCGCAUCUCAACACAUUUCCACGAUUCAACGACCAGCAGUGCAGCCAGCCAUUCAGCAUGCAUUUCCCUUGAUGAUGCUUUUCAAUUUCUCGUUUGCUGCGACAAGUUCUGCUGCAAUCCCUGGUUCAUUAGCAGAAUGUCCUGCGUCUGGAACAACCUAUGAUGGAGUCCAAUCACAAGGAAUAAAAGUGAUUUAGAAGUAGCCCUUUGUAGGAUGGACUAAAAUUAUUAACAAGUAACUAUCAAGAAGGCACAAAUUUUUCCUAUCCAUUCACAUUAAAAGAUUACUGUUUUACCAUAAUUUACCUUUGUACCGGUAUUUACCAUGCCUCUCUUCUUAAUUGGUGCUUAUCUUAACCAACUUCAACAAUAUGAUGAUUCACCCCUAGUCAUUUCUUAAAACUCAAGACUCCAGUUUUUAAACUUACCAAUACAUGCUUACUCUUUCACUUCAUAUUAGAAGACAAUUCUUUUCUGCCAAUCUGUGCACUCAUCAAAGAUACAGAUGGACUAAAAAGAAAGUAUUUUACUAGGAUUCACAUUUUGAGUGUCCAACACAUCAGAAAAAUUCUUUGACAAGAGAGCUCUAUUCAUCAUCAAGAAAAUGAAGCAAGGAGUCUCUUACAAUUAAUUCUGCCUCCGGCCAAGCUCUAUGAAGAUCCCAUGCUGACAUCAUGGGACAACAAACAUCGUAUCUUCCCUGCAAGAAAGAGAAUAAACUGUAGUCCCUCUCUCAUUCAGAUAAUAGAAUGCACUCAGAACAUAUCCCUUGACGGCAAAAACUUCAAGCAAUAACAACCAUCCUUCCAGUUACAUAAACAAAGAUUCUCCUAACAUAGCAUCUGGUAACAAAACCUUCUAGGACAAUGGUUAAAAUUCCAUUAUGUAUGAAAUGGUUAUCAUAACAAAUGGAAUGUACAUCUGAAGCAUUUUACCAGUCCUAACUAAGAUUCAGUUUCCAUUUACCAUAGGCAAAGACUAAAUUGUCUUGUAAGGAGAUGAACAGAUACUUCGUCAUAACAUAAUACUUUAACAAAUGACAAAGCUGAAUCAACUUUGCACCUAUACAGUUUACUCCUGGUUAUCCAAUUAAUGAGAAGACUGACUUGAAAGAAGCUGUACAUCUUGAUUGUACAAAAGUAACUAUUUUAUUCAUGGAUACUGUGAGGUGAUACCAAACUUAUACUAACAAAACUUCUUGUAUUGUUUCCCCACCAAUAGUUUAAUCUUGGAAGUGCCAUCUAUACUUGGUGCAAGACUAGAAUAUGAACCUUUUCCAUCUCUCUGUAAAUAAUAUUUCAAACUUCCAUCGCUCGAAGGAGAAGAUAGACAUUCCAAGUCCCAUCCACGGGGAUCAUGCCAAAAAUUAGAUGGACGUAUCUAGGCUGUCAAAUGGACCAAACUGUUGAAGCAAGAUUUCUUAGUUCUCCAGAGUCCACAAGAUUAAUUAACCAGACCAUUGCAACCUCUCUACAGCAUUUUGUUUGAAUUCAUAUUUCUUUUGCUGGGUAAGAACAAGUCAUCUAUUUAUUUACAUCAUUUGAUGUGCAAGACAUGAAAAGUAUGACACUGGAUGCAACAAAAGGAUGGUAUACCUGAACAAUAACUGUGUUAAUAUGCUUUAUCUUUUCAACAUUAUCUAGCAGGAAUGAGUCCGUAGGAAAGAAGCCCUUAUUCACGAAGUAGUGAUUCUCAAUCCUUGCAAAUGCCUGGAUGAACAUCAUAAAUCUAAGCAAAGAACUCAACCAUAAGAUAGUAUUUUCCAAAUGCACAUCUUCACAAACCAUGCUUUCUAUCUCGUACUUACCAAAGAGAACAUAUCAUCAUCCCCUUUCUUUAUGUUCUCUUCAUUUGGGUGAAGAUGUGCAGUCAUCAUUUCCCAUUUGGUCCAUGCCUUGGCCGCUGCAUUCUAAAAAGAUAAGGAACUAAGAAAAUGUACAAGGACCCAAGGAUUUUUAAAAAAAAAAAAAAAAAAGGGAAUCAGCAUAUCAUGCUGAAAUAAAAUCAUUCAUUCAAAAGGACUACUUCUGGGAAGAUUCUACUGUUACUUUGUCUAUCCUGCACACCACCGACAACAAAGUUCCAUAAAACGAAGGCAUAAGGAAGAAAAUUUCGCGUAACACUGAUGGCCACAAUAUCUUACAGUUUAAAUCUAGUUAUUAGCCUGAGUUUCUAACUGAUGGAGUUUCAGAAAGCAACCAGCAAGCUGUCUAAGAGUUAAAGCAAAAAUGAAAGAGAAGGGACUGAAUUGUCCAUUCGAUGACAGCAUAACAAAUUGACAGAUAUCUUCCAAAAAAAAUAAUAAUGAUAAUUUGGUUGAAAGGUUGCUUCAUGAAUUCAAAAAAGUUGAUGACUGUGUAACAUAUUCACAGAUAAUCUUCCAAAAAAAAUAAUGAUUUUCAUUGAAAGGUUCCUCCAUGAAUUGGUGCAGCUAUUCGCAUCACAAGAAAAAGUCAGAAAAGACUGAUGAUUCAUAAACCAGAAUGUCGAUCUUACUUGUAUAUCCUUAUCAUCAGAGUUUAGUCUUUUGUGAUAGGCCUCGAUAAAGCACCCCCUUUCAUUAUCCGGGAUAAGAUCUCUGAAGGAUUCCCAAGCUGCGUACAGAGCAAAACGCACACUCAGCCACUAAUAAGGUCUUGACGCAAUGAAAUCAAUCAUUAUUCAAGAUUUCAAGGCACAGGGAAAUAAUAGAAUGUUAAAAUCUGAACCGCAGAUAAGUUCACCUUGCACUUGAUUUCUCUGCAAGAUUCUGUACAGAACUCCUGCUAUAUUUGCCAAAUUCUGUGCUAAAAAAUUAUUCAAGGCCUUCCAUAUCUAUUACUGCGAUGAAAUUUGAUCAGAGCAACCUAAUAGGACACACUAUACCUCCCACUUCUUUCCAAUCUAGUCAUGGCGACUCCUGGCACAUUACGACUCCACAAAGAUGCCUCAGUCAUUAUGACUAAUUGAUCACUCCAUGUAUUUUCAUAUAUGAUUAUCAAGCUAGGAGGACAUUGCAUGCUAAGCCAUAUUUGGUAAUACUCCAUGAUUUUACACCACAUAAUAUCUUCUUAUGUUGCCAAGAAAGUAAUGUGAUCUAGUUAUACAAUCACAACUUUCCAAAACAUAUUCCACAAUCAUUAGUAGUCCACUAGUCAGAUUUACAAAUUAAAACGCAUACCAUCAGGGAAUAUAGCAGCAGCACCACCCUCGUAGAACCAAUCAAUUUCUUUCUUGCGCAACAAAAAUAUCCCCCGCAGGACCAAGCCAGUGACCUUCAAUUAAACCAAAAAGAUUUCAGAAUAUGACAUGUACUGUCACAGAUUCUAGAAGUGUUUAUACAUCCUCCAAAAAAGACUACAUAGAAAAACAAGAUUUAAAAAAAAUUCCAUCUCACCUUUUCAGGGUGUGACUGGCAAUAUGCAAGAGCAAGCGUACUCCCCCAUGAACCCCCAAAUACCUAGAAGAUCAUGGUUGAUAGAGAUGUAAAGCAAUGAACACAAAAUGAUUCAAACAGAACCAGUCACAAACCUGCCAUUCUGGAAUUUGUAAGUGCUCUCUGAGCUUUUCAAUGUCAUUCACCAGGUCCCAGGUGGUAUUCUCUACUAAACAAGCAUGGGGUGUGCUUUUUCCUGCACCUCGCUAUAACAUGAAAAUGGUUGUCACACACGCUGUACUUAGCUAAGUUUUGAAACACAUAGUUGACAUUACUAACCUGAUCAAAUAGAAUAAUCCGAUAAAAUGCAGGGUCAAAAAAUUUUCGAUUAUUUGGUGAAGUUCCACCUCCUGGGCCUCCAUGGAGAAAAACAACUGGCUGCAACGUACAAAAUGUCAGGAUGGAGAAAAACAACUGGCUGCAACGUACAAAAUGUCAGGAGGUGUAAAGCUGCAUUAGUUCAAAUAAUGCCAAACCAAGAGUAUCAGUGGAUGUAGUACAAGAAAUAUACACAUUAAAUGGAGCCGAAAUCAAGAAUUGUGAUGUUCUGCCCUAGAAAGUAUAAGAAUUACAAGUUUUAAAUUGCAGUAUAGGUCCACAUCAGAUAUAAACUUGGAAAUUCUGGUAGGAACCUUUAUGUAUCUCAUUGAGACAUUCCUGAAAGGACUAGAAAGAAAAUCCCAUACCCAAUUUUCAGACCUCAAUACCGUGUCAAGACCCUUAAUUAGAGAUGCUUGCUUUCACUCAUUGGUGCUCUAGUGCAAUAAAACUCUACCAUUAAAGUUUCCUUCCCUUAUUGCUACACCACUCUCCAACCUAAUGUAAUAACAAAAAGGAGAAAUGUCAACACUAUGAUAGAGUUUCUAAUACUAUGAUAGAGUCCUGCCUUGGCAGAGGGGCCGUUGGGAUUAUUUCCAGCAGGCUAGUUUUUCCAAAUGUCAAUAACCCCUUAAUAGUCGAAACCUUCAACUCCGAUCCAACAAAUUAAACAGACAACUGAGAAACUUGUAACGAAAAGAAAAAGACUGGUAAAGCAGGCCGGAUGUCAACAAAGUUUCAGCUAUAACUGAUAAAAAUUCCUUAUUACAAAUAUCACAUUUCUAUUAGCACAAUGUACAGCAGAUAUCGACCAAGAUAAGAUAAAAGGGGAUAACCUUUAAUCUUUAUGUUACUCUAUAAGUUUCUAAAAUAAGGGACCGUGCAUAUAUAACGUGGCUCGUAAAGCAAUUAGCAGGCUGCAGCGUUGUUAUCAUAGAUUCCAGCCAUUAAAAAUCGGAGAAUGAAAUACAUAUGAAGUAGAUUAGGAUAAAAAUAGAGACUAAGAAAUGAAAUCCCUUAAUGAAAACAACUUACAUGCCCGUUGGGAUUCCCUGACUGCUCCCAGUAUAUAGUAUGAAGAUCUGAAACCUUCAGGAAACCAGUACUAUAUGGCUCUAUAUCUAGGUAGAGCUCUCUAUUUAAUUCCGUAGAGUCUUUCUUAGAAUCCAUAGAUUCCAAACUCCGCUGCUUCUCACUCUUAUAAUCAAUAUUUUGUGCCCUCAACACACUACUAUUCCGUUCUGUCAAUAACAAUGCAAAUAACGCAACAAAUUCAGCUAUAUAAAAAAUAGAAGACGACAAUUUCCACUAUAAUUGUUUUUUCAAAAUUAUAUCAGAACUGAUGAUGUCAGCUUAGCAAGAAUAAAGAAGGGCCCACGAUUUAUCUCCUGCAAAAGAAAGUUGUCCUCCUAUUUCCUCACACCCUUCAUACAAGGUAGAAUUUUAACAAUCAAUUCUCUAGGCAAAAGAAGAAUCUUUGUGUGUUCUGUAGACUUGUAACGCUAAUACACAUAAUAAUACCAAUAGAGAAACAAAUUGUUCCUUGUUUCAGAACGCGUUCGAUUCUAACCAAAUGUAAGCAAAUACAUAGAGAUGACUGAACAUAGGACAACUGUAUGUGCUACAUGUUUGCCUUACUUUAGCUAGAACAUGUAAUUACGGACUUAGUGGUAUGAUUCUUGAUCUUAUGCAUUAAUGAAGAAGCAGAAAACUAUAAAGAAGUGGGCUUUCUUGUUUGAUGAACACAAAACAACAAAGGAAAGAAAAAAAAAACAUAGGAAGGCUGCUGGAAAAGAAUAUAUUAUUCUUAUCGUCAAACAGAGCAGAAAGAAAGGGGGGAGGAGAGAGGGGGGGGGAAGAGGAAGAAGAAUCUGUUGAGAAAAUUGAGGUGUACCUGAGAUCGUGAGAUUUUUGGGAGGAAAAGAGGAAACGGGUCGAUGGAAAGAGAGCGCUGGGAAGAAGGGCUUAAGCAAUUGAAUUGGAGAGAGAGUGGAGGAGUGAGAGUGAGAGAGGGGAAAGGGCGUCUGAUUUGGAUGAGAAGACCCUCGUAUUCUUCCUCCCCCUAAAACUACAAGGCUCAUUUGGAAAUGGGAUUAUUACGCUAAUAGUGCUGCUUGAUUUUGAUGAUUAAUGUGCUGGUAUGAGUACUGUUCACCAAUGCCAAAUUGUUAAAGCUGAAUUAUAAAAAAUGUGUUGGUACAGCGAAAUUGUCUUUUUCGUUGUUUUUCUUUUUUAGUAUUUGUAUUGUUUGUCUACAUGGGAUUAUGUCGUGGAGGGUCAGGAUUGACUUUGACUAAUGUUUGCCCCAUUUAUUUUUGGAGAAGAGCAGAUGUACUAAAUCCAAUUCCUAACCUCAAUCCUCAAAUAUCCUAUCCUACACUACAUAAACCGUGGAAGGCCGAUGAACAGUGAUUUGUACCGGCUAUUUUGUAAUUUGGUUCACAUUUUUCCCCUUUGUUAUCUUUUUCGAGCUGGAAGCUUCUUUGAGUCCUAUUUUCCUUCGAUUCAUUUCCCCUUGUUGAUUUUCUUUUGGACUAUUUUGUCCUUUGUCCUGGGUAUCCUGUUAUUUACACAUGCAUUUUGGACAUCCUGGUCUUUUUCAUGCUUUGGGGGCCAUGAGAUAGCGUAUGUUUCUCAUCAUUCUGUUCACCGCAAGAUAACCAUAUUAUCUUCAAGUAAAAUCCAUUUCUACACAUAUUUGCCUGCCGCCAUUUUUGCUCUUGUUUUGAGCAUCUAUGAAUUGAAGCAGCUCUUUGUGUAGAUGUCAUUGCCAGCAUAUAGUGCAUGCAUGCCGCGUGUAUUUUGCGUGGAUAAUCAGCUGCAUUGAGCUUAUCUUUCGGUGUUAUUCAGUUUGAGAUUUGAGCCAUCUUGUUUCAUCUGCAGUAGAUGUUAAUGUCAGGUUUCUCCAUUAUCCAUAUUGUGGUCUAUUGUUUAUCGGUUUCAAUUUCUUUUUUGAGCUAUCUGUGUGCCUCUUCUGUUUGCGUUCCACUCCGUUUCUUAGCAACUCCACUCUUCUUGCAUCAACGUCAUUAAUGUUAUAUAUAUUGCAUGCAUGCCGCGUGUAUUUUGCAUGGAUUGCCAGCUAUCUUCAGCUAAUCUUUCAUUCUUAUUACAUUAGACAUUUGAGCCAUCUUAUCUCAUCUGUACUCCUCGUUGAUGUGAAGUUUCUCCAUUAUUCUCAUUGCUUUUCUUUUUAUCUUCUAUUUUUUCUGUCUUUUGCAAAAACUAUACAAAUUUUCUGCGCUUUUGCUUCGUUUGCCUCUUGCGUUUUGUCUUCCUUUUUGUUACUGGUGAGUUACGAUCUUAAUUUAUCUCUCCUUUGUCUCGCUUUUUUCUGUGUCCAUGCUUCUUGCUUGUGAUGAAUUUUUCCAUGCAUGUUGUGUUCUGUAUACAUACGUUUUUCUUUCUCUCUUUUAACUACCUUUCAGAGUUGUCGCCCUUCUUUUUCUUUGUGAUUUUUGAAUAGCUGAACAUUUUUUCCAUUUCUCUGCUAUGGUAUUUUUAUAUCCUUCCACCUUUUACUUCUGCUCUUAGUUAUUUUGCCAUAAGGUACUUUAGCUUAAGAAUUAAUAUUUUGCAGUUUUCCCUUCUGCAAGUACGUUUGCUCCUAAUUUCUGUUUCUCUUUUUUCUUGAACCCUUAUAAUUCCCUGUGUUAUUUAUGAUUUCCUGUAUUUCUCUUUCUUUAUGGCAAGAACGCUUUUUGCCAUCAGAAUUCCCUACAACUCCACCAUCUUUCCUCAAAACCACCACCACAGACAUCCCAUCUUCAAUCGAACAAGCUUCGUCGACUUCCACUCCAACAUCAGCUUUAUCUGUUGUGCCAGUCGAUCAAAGCAGUGACAAAGGUCCCUCAUCUUCAGUGAAGAGAAAUCUUGAAGAAGAACUGGCAAAAACAACAAAACAUGCAAAGCUCGAUUAAACUCUGCAGUCAAAAGAAAAAAUGACAAAGCUCCAAGAAUCAUCAACCCAAAAACAGCAACUAAGCAUGAAUUACUUUUGCUUCAGACAACGGAUUGCUUUUGUUAUUCUGGUGAUGAGUUAGCACUUUUGACAUUUUCAGCUCUAUAUAUGUGUUUCUAAUCACCAGAAUAUACUACUUUAUGUAAAUUACCUUGACAUGUUUACAAAUAUCACCUACCUCUACUAAAAUCGCUCCUAUUACUGUAUAAUAGGGGCACCCCGCGUCAAACGCGGGGUCUCACCACCUAGUUCCAAUCUACGCGCAUUCAACCCUUAAUUUUUAAGGAACUUCUUGGGUUCCUUAAUUUAUUUGUAAUAGGGAGAGAGAUAGGAACUCUACAGACCCUAUUUCAAGAUGCAUCUUCUCCACAGUCACAGCAAAAUUUGUUUGGAUGCCUGUUUUCUGCCCUUUGUCACAAUUUCUUGAUUUGAUGUUUGUACCACUCAGACCAUAGUCCAAUAUAAUUCAACAUUUUUUACUGGAAAAGAAAUGGGAAAGAACGCAUAUCAAUGGAUAUAUCUCCUUCACAUUAAACAGGUUGCACCUUGGUUACAGAUAAUGAAGCUAACUGUCAAUGAAUAUCUCAGAAAAUCAAAUUAAAACUCGCAAGUAAAACACUAAAGAUGCUUUUUUUUUCUUGUAAUUUAUACUUGUUAUUUCAUGAGGAGCUGAAAUAUGCUUGCAGGCCAGUUUACUAAUGAGUCUGAACAUAGAGCUAGACCUGAAGUAAGUGCAACAUUACUGAACAGAAUGUCAUCUCCAUAUUUACAGGCGAGAUUGUAUAUCAAAAUUGACUGCUACCACUAGUAGUACUACUACUUCUGUAAAGCACCUCCUUAUUCUUGCAAUUGUAGACCUCUCUAGUAUUCACUACGAUGCUGCUGAGUUUACAGGGCUCUGCAUUUUCCAGCAUCUGAACUACCAUUUUCAUUGAGGGUCUCAACACCGGAGUUCUUGAGGUGCAGUGAAUUGCAAUUUUCAGUACCUUGACAGCAUCUUCUCUCAGAGCCUCUGAAAUGCUCUUGUCCACCAGCUCAAUUGUCCUGUGUUCGCUUCUCAGUUUGCUGUAAAUCCAAGAAACUAUGUCCUUAUUGUCCCCAAACUCUGGUUCUACUGGUUUCUUUCCAGUUACCAAUUCCAUUAAAACCACCCCGAAGCUGUAUACAUCACUUUUCUCGUUAACGCUGCAGGCAUAGGCAUAUUCUGCAACCAGAAAAAUAAAUGUAGAUUACGGUAGUAUUCUGUUACUUGCGAUCAUGCAAUGUCCAUCAUGGUUGAUUACGAGGACAUCACAAUCGUAAAUUAGGUACAUAAUACGUAAGCUGAAAGCUAAAAGUUAUCUGUAAACACGGAGCAUCCAAAGCAAUUAACAACUGAAAAGUGAUGUUUGAGUCACCAACCUGGGGCAAUAUAGCCGGGUGUCCCUGCAAUGACGUGCGUUGACUCCCUAGCAUUAGGUUCAUUGGCCUGCAAAAUCUUGGCUAGUCCAAAAUCUGCUAUCUUAGGCUUGAGAUCAGCAUCCAACAAAAUGUUGCUGGACUUUACAUCUCGGUGUAUGAUUGGUCUAUCACAGCCAUGGUGCAGAUACUCCAGUCCCUUAGCAGCCCCAAGCGCAAUUUCAUAUCUUGCCAUCCAAUCCAUCUUGAUCCUCUGGCCUGUGUGCAACCUAUCCCACAAGCUCCCAUUAGGCAGGUAUUCAUAGACCAGCAAAUUUGAGUCCUCAGUUGUGAUGCUACAGUACAGUUUCACCACAUUUACAUGCCUCGCGGAGCUUAAAGUGGCAACCUCAGCAUCGUAUUCCUUUGAUCUGCCCUUGCCCUUGCCCUUUGCCAGGAUUGCUGCGGUGCUCCGGCAACUAUUUCUGGAAACUGAAUCUUGAUUCCAUAUGUGCUUCACAGCCAACUGCAUUCCACAGUGUAGGACGACUUUAUAAACAUUACCAGAUCCACCUUUGCCAACUAAAUUUUCGUGCUUAAGGGCCUUCAGAAUUUGCUCUUCACUGAAGCUUAAUACAUAGAACAGCUUCAUAUCCCAAGAAUCAGAUCGCUUUACUGGAAUUUCCCCAUUUUUGUGUCUAAACCUCAAAAAUAGGCAGCAUGUUAGUGUCACAAUCAAGACACAAGCAAUGGCUAUGAAGCAAUAUAUCACUGUUUUAAUCUUCCCGGACAUGCCUGAAUCUGAUGAACAAAACCUGAAACUUCUAAGGCUUUCACUGCAGAGGCCAGAGUUUCCAUCAAAGCUACCAUUAAAAGCAUCUAUUGAUAAAGAAUCUGGGAUGUGCCCAACCAACCUAUUGUUUGACAAAUCAAGAAGGUUUAGAGGUAGUGAUGUAAAGCUCAGAGGAAUCUCACCAACGAAUUGGUUGUUUGAGAGAUUUAGGAAGUUCAAGCUUGGAAGGGAACCGAGGCUAGCUGGAAUAUUCCCAGAAAAUGAGUUGUGUGCCAGAUUUAUGUCAUUGAGAGAAGCACAGGAACCCAAUGAAUCUGGAACAACACCAGAAAAUGAGUUAAAUUCCAAAUGAAAGAUAACUCAAUUUCUUCAAGUUGCCUAUCGUUGCUGGAAUUUCUUCAGACAACUUAUUUGAGGUGAUAUCAAUCUUAACCAAUGAAGCAGCUUCCGAUAUUCUCUGAGGUAGUUCACCAGAGAACUGAUUGUUGGCCAGGAGCAACUCUGCUAGAGACUUGGCAUCACCGAUACUUGGCGCAACAGGUCCCUCAAAUUGAUUCAAGUUGAGAUCAAUUAUAGUUACCUUUGGCAGACCCCAAAUUCCACUGGGAACUUCGCCUGAAAGUGAAUUGUUGCUUACACGUAAACGAGUUAAAGAUAGACAAUUACCAUAAGAGGCUGGUAUUCCACCAGUGAAUCCGUUCUGAAGCAUCAAAAGUUUAGACAAUUUGCCGCCCUUGCACAUAUCAGGUGGUAUAGGACCGGUCAGAAAAUUACCAGAAACAUCAAUGUAGAGAAACUCUGACCAUGAUCCGAUCUUCUCAGGAAGAGGUCCCGUUAACUUGUUAGUGUAAAGUGAGAAUUCUGUGAGGAACUUUAACUCUCCAAAUUCUUGAGGAACCUCACCUGAAAACUGAUUCUCAAAAAGUUGUAAAGAUGCCAGUUGUGUUAAGGAUCUUAGCUCUGAAAGAUCGCCCUCGAUAUAGUUGGUUGAAACAUCAAAUUUUACAAGGUUAGUGAGAUUUCCAAAUCCCACUGGAAUCUUUCCCGUGAGUCCAUUAGUGUACAGCUCAAGUUGGUUAAGCUUGCUUAGUCUGGUAAUCCCAUUUGGGAUGCUACCGACCAAGUUAUUGUAGGAUAGCUCAAGAUUUUCGAGCAGCGUGAGAUUCCCAAUGCCAUCUGGAAUUUGGCCCUCAAUGCUACAAUUUGAGAGGUAAAUCCAAUACAACUUCUCCAGUUUUAGCAGUUCCAAAGGGAAUGGACUCCUAUCAAAAUCAUUGUCACCUAGGCUCAAAAAACCAAGACUGGUAAGAUUUGCUAAUGAGCUCCAAGGAAAAGAACCCGAAAAUCCACAGUGGUUUAAGUUCAAGAGCUCCAAUUUGGUUAAAGAUGACAAAUCAGGGACCUUUCCAGAAAAGUAGUUCAUGCCUAAAUCCAAAUGCUGCAAGCUAGUGCAAUUAGACAAGUGAUCACUGAUGCUUCCAUACAAAAAGUUCGAUCCCAGAGAUAUUUUCUCGAGUGAUUCGAGGGAGCAUAUUAGAUCAAAAGAAACAGGCCCUGACAAAUUUUGCAAAGAAAGAUUGAUUUCUGUUACCUUGUGGUUGGAGUCACAAGUCACGCCAGUGAAGUUGCAUGCUGAAUUUUGCCAGGUCCAUGUAUCAAAAACAGGCGAAUCUGCACUCCGGAGAGUUGAUUUCAGCUGCAUAAGUACUCCAACAUCAUCACUCUGGGAUUUGGAGAUCAGGAAAAGGAAAAGGGCGCAUAUCAAGUAAACAUUUGAAGAAAACCAGCGCCGGAAAAUGGAACAUUCGGCCAUCACGGCAGCUGGUAAACAUUCACCAAGGAGGACUUCUGGUGACUGAUGUGUUUGCCAGAGAAUGUGGAAAUAUGACUCCUAAGAGACGUAACUGCACUGCUUGCAUGUAGCAGCACAGCAAGGUUGGCUGGAAAUUAAUUGAUGUGAGAAAGUCUUGAGUCAGCUUUCACACAGUCCCAUACUGACGUGUCCACAAAAUCUUUUGUUGACCCGAAAUUUGGCUCACCGAAUUAAGAUUAAUCAGUUCAAUCACUCAAUGUCAAGAGUGUCCAAAAAAAAAAUGAAAAAGGUAAAUCUAGUUGGUUUUGGCCAAUGAGAAGAGAAUUUAGCAUAGUACAGAACGUAAGACAGAGGAGGGUGUGCAGAAUGAUCUUUCACUUCCAAUUUUCACAUUGGCUGGCGGUUCCCCACAGAUUUAUUUGUUGUUGCACUCAGUUUCCAGGAUGCUCCCCCUACACUCUCUUUGCUCAAUUCUGGUCUUCUACUUGCGUAUGCUAAAUAGGCGUUGUUAAUCAACCAACUGAUACUACUCAACAACCGCAAGGUGACAAGAGAAGAAGUUUCACUUGAUAUGUUUAUUAGUUACUGAUUAUGCUAUCUACAGCAAAGAACAUGAAAGAACCUAAUUUAGACGGUCGUUUGUACUUCCUACAUGAAUGGAUGAACAAGGGCUUCAUUAGCAGAAGGUUCCUUCAUGUUCUUCUUAUCUGUCAAAAAAAAAAAGAACAGAAAAGAAAGACAAGGCGCGACUCCAUUUUGAUUUUUCAGUGAAGUAGAUACGAUGAACUAGUUCAAGCAUUAUCUUCACCAUUCAAUGUGCUACUGUAUCUCAAAUUCGUUAGACCCUGCUCAUGUUCUUUAAAUUAUCGGACGAGGACCCUCUGUGCAUUAAGAUUUUAGGGGAGCUGUGCAACUGUACAUCAACCAUCAGUAAGUCGCACAAAAAAAUUGAAUUGGGAAAAUCAUUCAAUGAUUUACUGCCACAUUUGAAGAAAGAAAUGAUUGCCAUUUUAUUGUUGACGGAUGCAUUGAAAGAGAGAUAAAGGACUAGAAAAGCUAUAGUUUGACUCAGAUUGAAACUGCUGCCUGGUUUUGUUUGAUUCCACGACUAAAAGUUGUGGGCUUGCUAGAAGUUACCGGGAAGGAUAUAGGAAUAAUGUCAUCAGUCAUCAUCAGGGUAGCGGGGUCGCUGAAAAAUUGAGAGAAAGGACAAACAAAAGUGGAAAUGUCGGGCCGUCGACUAGUGAAAAUAUGAAGCACGGCUCGGAAGCUAAGGACUAACGGCCGCCUACUUUGACUCUCUCUCUAUCUGUCGCCUUUCAGUUUGCAGCUGCCACUUUCUGCCACUUAUUUGCGUACUCACACGGCUCUAUCACUCAAAAGUCAAAUGAAAAAAAAUAAAAAAGAAGUAGAAAUCAAAGGAAAAUGAAAGAAGAAACGCGAGAGAAAUGAUCCCAAGUUGGCUAUGGAAAUUCCCAUCACCAUUCACCAGGACAAGGGGUCGGUGGAAGAGUUGUGUAUUUGGUUGAUAAUUAAUUGAGAAUGAACCAAAGAAUUAUAUGCUGAUAUAAGUUGACUAAUUGAGAUGGUAAGAAAUAAUUAUUGCCUGACUAAAGAUCGUGCAUUCAAAGAUAUAUGAAAUCACAGUCGAUAUGAGAAUUAAUUUGGUGGGUAAACUGCAAGAGCAUUUAUGGUUCGGAAGCAAAUUGUAAGAACAUUUAUUGUUUCAGAAACAUGUCCUAACUCGUGAUGAUAAUCAAAAUCGAAUCGAUUCAAACUUUUUAUUAAAAGAAAAGAAUUUUAUGUACAAUCAUUAAAAAAAAAAAAGAAAAAAAUUCAAUUGAGUAAAUUGCAUGUGUUUAGAUUUGGAGGAAAUUCGAAAUUCUAAACAUGGCCCGGAACCAGAAGGAGGAGACCAUAACAGGCACAUAAUUAUUCGAUUUAUUGACGCAUAAUGACAUACUUUUCUAGAAAUCAUGAACAUCUUCCUUUCUUGAAAAAGUUGGAUGGUAGUUUAUUAGUAGUUUCUUUCCGUCCACAAGAAAAGAAGGGUGCAAAUGUAAUUGGGCAUAAUGAUGGGGUCCGCCAGGGGAAUUCUGUUAGGCUCAACUAUAGCUCGCGGAAAUAGAAAGACGAUGUGACAAUACUAGCCGCUCUGGCAAAAAAAACCUUUUCCCUUGUUGCUUCUUUUUCCCUUAUUACCGUAUGAUGAUGAAUGCCUUUCUUUGAAUUGGAAUUUUAAAAAAGAAGGCAGGAAAGAUGCACGAACCUCCGCAGCAGGGAAGCGAUCUUAUCAUUUCCUGCCCCGAUCAUCUCAUUGACUCUGAGAUUUUGAAGAGGACAUCGUAGAAUAUAUGCCGUGAAAUGGCACCUUCAAAUUGACUUUUGCGUUUCCUCCUAUUCUCAAUUGUUUUAGAUUUUAUAAAAUUUGAUUAUAAAAAAUUAAUUACAGAAAAUAAUUAGAAUUAACAAAAAAUUACCCUUUAGAUAAUUUUUAAUUUUAGUUUUAUUAGUCAUUAAAAAAUCUAUAAUAAAAAUAUAUAAACAAUCAACAAUACCACAAAACUUGAUUAUUCAAAGUCAAAAUUUAUAAUCAAUUAAAAUAAUCAACUGAGAACAAACCCGUAAAAAAAAAGAUGAAGCACAAUUGCUUUUUUUUUUUUUUUUUUUUCAGGGCAACGUCCAAUAGUGAGACUCCUCAUUUGCUAUUGCAUGUACAAUAAUUCACAAUGCCCUUCAGGGUUCGGUUCCGUGGUUGUAGCUCAGUUGAGUGAGAGCCACGUCAAGGGAUCGAGACCCCGGGUAAACUUGGUCGGUGAUGUUGGGCAGCCUCUCCCGCCCCGCAGUUGGGAUUAGUUGGGCCGUACGGUAUUAUCAGUCCAUGGGUCCAGAUACCCAACUGUAUCGACAAAAAAAAAAAAAAAGUACAAUAAUUCACAAUACGCGUCCAUGAUUCAUUGAUAUGUAACCUAAUCUAAAAGGGAAAACAAAACUGUGAUGCUCCAUACUCUAAUGCAAAAGGUACUUUUUGCAAUAGUUUUGAUUUCUUAAUAAUCUCCAAUGAAUUUUUUUUUUUGUUUUGGGCUGCCAAAAAAAGAAAAUGACUUAUCCUGUUGUGGUGGGUGAGUCUUUUAACAAAGGUAGCUGCGUACGCCAGGUUUCGAAUCUGAGACCUGUUUAAACGGAACCAAACUGCUUACCACUUGGCCCAAUCCCGAUCGGUUUCCAACCUUAGAUCUAUGAAACCACCUUUUUUAUCCGAAACCACCGUGGAUCUUUCGCCUGUACGUCUGUGAAACAAGAAAAGAAAACUAGGUCCAACGGGCAGUUCUUCCCUACGCCCCACCAAGGUCCAAUUAGGAGUUUGUUUGUGGGCUUCUUCCAGAUCAAUGCCCGGCUUGCUCAAACAUGGGCCUGGGAACACUAUUGUCUUUUGCUAAAAAUUUGAAACCACGUUCUUCAAAUUCUUCCCUGUUAGUAUUACCAUUAGGGUCAAGAGUCUGGUAUCUUUCACUUAUAAUUUAUUCUUUCAUGCCAAGGUUGAAAUCCUGAUAUCUCUCACUUGUACUAUAUCUUCUUUCGUAUCAUCCAACCUAUUCCUUUCCUUGCAUGUAGAAAUUUUUUUUUUAAUAGUAUAAGGAGAAGGGUUCGAAUUCGAAAUUUCUCGUUUACCCUCCUUUUUCCCUAAUCACCCAACCCAUCCCUCUCCUACCUACAUAACUUAAAAGUCUUAAAUUGCUAUGGUUUUGCAUUUGGUAAAAAUUAUCAACCACAUAAAUUUUAUGAAGUGCUCCAAUUAAGCUGGGUUGCCAUUGCUAAAAAGUAGUUAUCGAGUGUAGAACUUUACUAAAGACACAAAAAAAUAUAAAAUAGGGAUAAUAUAAUAACAUUAAUGUCAUUUUUAUUUUUUAGGAUCAACCAAGAAGAAAAAAAAGUUAAACCAAUCAAAAACCAACAUAGACAAAUUUUUCUGAGCCACAAGGAAUAGAUGUGUGAAGAUAAAGGCUUGGAAAAAUCAAUUCCACAAAAAUUUAAAAAAGGAAAAAAGGAAAAUUUCCAAAAUUCGACGUCCGUUGUAGCUCUAUUGCAUCUAUCCAUCCGACUUUGUUUUUCUGGUUUAAAUGCAGUAGUCACUCAUAAUCGCUAAAUGAAACUUUCAUACGAACUUAGACACACAAGGUAGCAAAAGCCAGUCCAACGCGAAGAUGCAGCCUGCUGCGGAAGCCAGGCAACGUAUUGCCAGACUAUCAGCUCAUCUUAAUCCCACUAAUUCCCAGGUCUGUUUUAUCUUCAAAGAUAGAUCCCUUUAUUUCUGUUGAGUGUUGAUGAUUAUUCAUUGAUGCUCAGCAGCAGUUGUUAACUUGUGCAUGUACUCCAUUUUAUGCUAGUUUUCCUGGAUCUGAUUCUUUUACUCGAAUUCUGAAAGAACCAUUUUCUUGCAAAUUGUGCUUCAGUGGCUAAAUGCGCACUUUACUUGUUUACUGCACGGGAUGAGCUAAUAUUUUUUGUUUUAUGUCUACUGAAAGAUGGAGGUAAAUACCAUGUUGGAGCGGGUGGACUGCAGAGCAAAAGGUGGUUCUCCUGGAUUCAAAGUGGCAAUAUUAGGUGCAGCUGGAGGGAUUGGCCAACCUCUUGCAAUGUUAAUGAAGAUGAAUCCAUUAGUCUCAGUUCUUCAUCUCUAUGAUGUUGUCAAUUGCCCUGGUGUCACGGCUGAUAUUAGCCACAUGGACACUGGUGCUGUGGUACGUAACUUUCAUGUAUUACGUCAUGAAAAUUUUCCCUUGGCUUUAGAAGUUUAAAGAACAGUCUGUUAUUUGGGUUGUAGGUGAGGGGCUUUCUUGGGCAACAGGAGCUUGAGGCUGCUCUUACAGGAAUGGAGCUCAUUAUUAUACCUGCCGGUGUUCCCAGGAAGCCUGGAAUGACCAGGGAUGAUCUCUUCAAUAUUAAUGCUGGAAUUGUGAAGACACUGUGUGAAGGAAUUGCAAAGUGCUGCCCCAAUGCAAUUGUGAACUUGAUCAGCAAUCCCGUGAACUCUACUGUCCCAAUUGCUGCAGAAGUUUUCAAGAGGGCAGGCACUUAUGAUCCAAAGAAGCUUUUGGGAGUUACCAUGCUUGAUGUCGUCAGAGCUAAUACUUUUGUGGUAUCUAUCUUCAGAAAUUUACUAUCUACUAAUACCUCAUUAUUCAUUGUUCAUGUGCUUGAACUACUUGUCCAUUUACUUUCCCUUUCAACGGUUUGCUUAAGUUAGGCUAAUCAUUCUUCAGCAUAUAAAAUUAUUAAGAGGUCUGUAUUUGUUCAAUUCUAUUUGUGCCUAAUGUUUAUGUACUCAGUAAAAUUUAAGGGGUUGCAUAUUUCUAAAUAUCUUUUGCAUGUUGUUCUGCAAUUUUGAUAGUGCUGACGGAUUUACUGCUCCUGUGAACAUUAUUACAGGCUGAAGUUUUGGGACUUGAUCCUAGGGAAGUUGAUGUUCCUGUUGUUGGUGGUCAUGCUGGAGCAACAAUUCUGCCUCUUCUUUCACAGGUUAGAUAUCAAACAAUGCUCUAUUUUAAACAGCAGAGAAUUUUGUGUGGGACUAAAACUAGAUUGAACAAGAAGCCACAUUCGAUGACAUCCUGCAGGUUAAGCCUCCAUGCUCAUUUACACCAGAUGAAACUGAAUACCUGACAAAACGCAUUCAAGAUGGUGGAACAGAAGUUGUUCAGGUAUAGAAAUCACCUUUCACUGGAGGCAUGGAUUAUAUACUCCUGGACUGAAUAACAAGACAUUGAUUGUGAAUGUCCUUCUGCAGGCAAAGGCUGGGGCUGGCUCAGCAACUUUAUCAAUGGUUCGUUUUGAACUUAUGCUGAAGUAACUAACAAUUGCAAUUAGUCCAAGAAUGAUUCUUGGAUCUGUAGCAUAUUGAAUCACUCACACAAAGACUUUGUUAACAGGCGUACGCUGCAGUCAAAUAUGCAGAUGCAUGCCUGCGUGGGCUUAGGGGUGAUGCUGGUGUCGUAGAAUGUGCUUUUGUAGCUUCUCAGGUUUUUAUCCAUACCUCUGUUCUGUACAGUAUCUCCUCACAUUUUCAGUCAGUUCCUCACACAUCCCCUACCACUAUCCCAUAGGUCACGGAACUCCCUUUCUUUGCUACAAAGGUACGACUUGGUCGUACCGGAGCUGAAGAGGUCUAUCAACUAGGACCCUUGAAUGAGUAUGAGAGGUAUGAUGCAAUUAGGGGUGGGCAUGGGUCGGGUACCCGCCCCUAACAUGAUUUGGCUGACCCGACCUUAAUAUAUCGGAUCAGCUAUUUUGCGACCCUAACCCGCUCCUAAUAUUUUCGGGUACCCGAAUAGCGGGUACCCGAAAAAAAGGGGCGGGUCAUAGGGUACCCGCCCCUAAAAAAAACUAUUUUUCAAUAAAAAAAAUUUAUUUUCUACUUAAUAUCAACAUGUUUUUCAAUAAAAAAACAUGUUUUUCCAAUUAAUAUUGGUAGAGAUAUUAUAAUUAAAGUCCAUACAUCAACAUUUUCACACAUUUCAUCCAAUAAUCAAAUCGAUCUCAUAAAUUUAGUACAUAUUAGAAUAUCUAAUGGACAAAACGAAGUUUCAUAAUAAUUUUGAGUACAUCACCAUUUUCACACAUUUCAUACUUCUACAACACAACAAACACAAGGAUAAUAAGUAUUUGGUAACUUCCCCAAGGAUAUUAUGGUACAAGACCGCAUCUCAAAUAAGUCAAUUGUGAAAUCAAGUUCGGAAAAGAAUUGAAUAGAACUAAUUAUUUUUGAAAAAAAAUAUAACCAAAAUAAUGUUAAAAAUCUUCCCCAACUUCUUUACAUCUUUGGAAUAGACCUUAUGGUAUUAAGGUGAUGAAAAAGAAAAAUAAAUUUCUUACACUAAAUAAAAGAGACAAAUUUAAGAGAUAUAAUUGCAAAUGAAUGACACAAAUAUUUUAAUUAUCUAGCUAACAGAAAAUUGAGACUCCAAACAAAAAUCUUUGAUUGAAUUGAUGCAAGAUUUGCAUGAAAGAUCGAUGGAGGUAGAAUAAAAAUAAAAAAGAUGAAAUGGAUGAACAAUUUUUAUAACAGAGUUUCACAAAUUUUUUUUUUCAUUUUUUUCAUGUUUCACCGAGAAUAUUCACUUUCUAAAAAAAAUGAGAAGAGUAGAUCAUAUAGGAUUAGAAUAUGAGGCUACGAGCCACUUCACUUGCACUUAGGAUUAAAAAUUACAAAAUUAUAAAAUGAUCCCUACUUUUUUAAUAUUUAUAAAAUAUACCCUGCGGGUCGGGUACCCGCGGGUUUUUAUUUUUCUGAUCCGUAUCCGUAUCCGAUUUUUCGGGUACCCGACCCUCAUCUGCCCCGCUAAGAAAAAUCGGAUCGGGUAUCCUAUUUUUCGGAUCGGAUCGGAUCGGAUUCAUCGGAUUUUCGGAUCGGCGGGUUUUUUUGCCCACCCCUAGAUGCAAUUCCUCUUUCAGUCAUGGCAUAUGGUAGAAGAGUUGAUACGUCAGAUAAUUCUAGUUAUUUGCUGCUACUUCUUACAGGGUUGGACUGGAGAAAGCAAAGAAAGAGUUAGCAACGAGCAUCCAAAAAGGGAUUUCCUUCAUAAAGAAAUGAACAGUGAGCUUCAUGACUACAUUGAAAUUGCUUGUAAAGCAGAGCACGCUUGGGUCAUGGAAAGAUAUUCUGGAACCUAGUAGUUAGAGAGUCCUCGCGUUUUAACAUUUGCUGGAUAGGAAGUUAAGCGAGACAAGUGGAAGUCCUUUAUGAAAGAACUUCAUUCAGAAAAAGGAAAAUUAACUUCAUUCAGAAAGAACUUUAUGAAUAUGUUUAGCAGCCAACAUCAUCUGCAGAUCAGAAAAAGCUAUGUAAAGUAAAAGUACUGCAGAUGUUUGCGUUAAUAUAUGAAGUAAAAUCAUAAUCCGCUUUCAGCUCAAGAUUUAUUUAUUUUUUUCCAAUCAUGUGUGGAGUUUCCCGUAAAAGCAUUCUGUCGGAAAACUAUUCUGGAUUUUGGUAGUAUAAAUUCUGUCAACGGGAGAACAAAAUGAAGUCAUAGGAGUAAGUAGGUAAGGCAAAAAAUCCAAUGACAGAUGAAAGAUUACUCCAGAGCAGCACAUGAAAUAGUUAAAGGAUAUAUCUUGAUCAUAUUCACAAACUUUACACUAUCAAGCCCUUUUGUUCUUCUUUAAUGAGCUUUUACAGUAUCUAAUAGCCCUCAAGCAAUGGUCUUCAUUACUAUUACGACCAAAGCCCCAGAAUAAAAAAAGGAGAAAACUGAAGAAAAAGAGAAAAAUUUCUUCUUUACACUCUCUCGAUAAACUAGACACCUUAAACUCACAGG
rnacentral:lncRNA from 1 species